rnacentral:lncRNA from 1 species
GCGAACCAUGCCUCAUGGGCAAGAUGACUAAAACUCCGUUCUCCGGAACAAUGGAGCAAGCUAAUGACUUAUUUGAAACAAUACAUACCGAUGUAUGCGAUCCAAUGAGUGUUGAGGCACGUGGCGAGUAUCGUUAUUUUCUGACAUUCACAGAUGAUUUGAGUAGGUAUGGAUAUAUCUACUUAAUGAAACACAAGUCUGAAACAUUUGAAAAGUUCAAAGAAUUUCAGAGUGAAGUGGAGAAUCAUCGUAACAAGAAAUAAGAUGUGAUCGUGGAGGCGAAUAUUUGAGUUACGAGUUUGGCCUUCAUUUAAAACAAUGUGAAAUUGUUUCACAACUCACGCCACCUGGAACACCACGGCAAAAUGGUGUGUCCAAACAUCGUAACCGUACUUUAUUAGAUAUGGUGCAUUCUAUGAUGUCUCUUACCGAUUUACCAAUAUCGUUUUGGGGUUAUGCAUUAGAGAGAGUUGCAUUCACGUUAAAUAGGGCACCAUCUAAAUCCGUUGACUUGAAACCGUAUGAACUAUGGUUUGGCAAGAAACCUAAGCUGUCGUUUCUUGGGGUUGCGACACUUAUGUCAAAGGGCUUCAGCCUGAUAAGCUCGAACCCAAAUCGGAGAAGUGUGUCUUCAUAAGAUACCCUAAGGAAACAAUUGGGUACACCUUCUACCACAGAUCCAAAGGCAAGAUCUUUGUUGUUAAGAAUGGAUCCUUUCUAGAGAAGGAGUUUCUCUCGAAAGAAGUGAGUAGGAGGAAAGUGGAACUUGAUGAGGUAAUUGUAUCUUCUCUCGAAUUGGAAAGUAGUACAUCACAGAAAACCAUUCCCAUGAUGCCUACACCAACUAGAGAGGAAGCUAAUGAUAAUGAUCAUGAAACUUCAGAUCAAGUUACUACUAAACUUCGUAGGUCGACCAGAGCACGAUCUGCACCAGAGUGGUACAGUAAUCAUGUCCUGGAAGUCAUGUUAUUAGACCAUGGCGAACCUACAAACUAUGAAGAAGCUAUGAUGAGACCAAAUUCUGACAGAUGGCUUGAGGCCAUGAAAUCUGAGAUAGGAUCCAUGUAUAAGAACAAAGUGUGGACUUUGGUGGACUUCCCGAUGAUCGGCAGACCAUAUAGAAUAAAUGGAUCUUCAAGAAGAAGACUGACACUGAUGGUAAUGUUACUAUCUAUGAUGUGACGGACAAGACCCACCAGUUAGCUUAGCAUAAUGAUCGUUCAGUUUAUUGCUAUUGCUUUCUUCAUGUCAAAUAUUAAUUCCUUUGACUAUGAGAUUAUGCAACUCCCGGAUACCAAAGGAAUACCUUGUGUGCUAUCAAACGUCACAACAUAACUGGGUGAUCAUAAAUAUGAUCUACAGGUAUCUCCGAGGGUGUUUGUUGAGUUGGCAUAGAUUGAGAUUAGGAUUUGUCACUCCGAGUAUCAGAGAUGUAUCUCUGGGCCCUCUCGGUAAUACACAUCAUAAGCUUGCAAGCAAAUAACUAAGGAGUUAGUCACGGGGUGAUGUAUUAUGGAACGAGUAAAGAGACUUUCCGGUAACGAGAUUGAAUUAGGUAUGAAGAUACCGACGAUCGAAUCUCGGGCAAGUAACAUACCGAUGGAUAAAGGGAAUUACGUAUGUUGUCAAUAACGGUUUGACCGAUAAAGAUCUUCUUAGAAUAUGUAGGAGCCAAUAUGGGCAUCCAGGUUCCGCUAUAGGUUAUUGACCGGAGAGGUGUCCCGGUCAUGUCUACAUAAUUCUCGAACCCGUAGGGUCCGCAUGCUUAACAUUCGUUGAUGAUACAGUAUUAUAUGAGUUAUGUGAUUUGGUGACCGAAUGUUGUUCGGAGUCCCGGAUGAGAUCACAGACAUGAUGAGGAGUCUUGAAAUGGUCGAGAGGUAAAUAAUGAUAUAUAGGACGAUAGUAUUCGGACACCUGAAGUGUUUUAGAUGGUACCGGGUACUUAUCCGGUCACCAGAAAGGAGUUUCGGACACCCCUAGCAAAGAUAUGAGCCUUAUGGGCCAAGAGAGGAAAAGCACCGGCCACAAGGGGCUGGUGCACCCCUCAUAGCAGGCCAACCUAAGGAGGAGAAGAAAAGGGAGAGGGAAAGGUAAGUGUGGAUUAGGAUUCCCACUUCCUUCCCUCUCCCCCCUCUUCCCUUCCCCCUUGGGAAUACAUGGCGACGNNNNNNNNNNNNNNNNNNNNNNNNNNNNNNNNNNNNNNNNNNNNNNNNNNNNNNNNNNNNNNNNNNNNNNNNNNNNNNNNNNNNNNNNNNNNNNNNNNNNNNNNNNNNNNNNNNNNNNNNNNNNNNNNNNNNNNNNNNNNNNNNNNNNNNNNNNNNNNNNNNNNNNNNNNNNNNNNNNNNNNNNNNNNNNNNNNNNNNNNNNNNNNNNNNNNNNNNNNNNNNNNNNNNNNNNNNNNNNNNNNNNNNNNNNNNNNNNNNNNNNNGCUAGGCUGCCUCCCCUCCCCCUCCCACCUAUAUGUAUGUGGGAGGGGCGCCUAGCACAACCCAGAUCAAUUGUUAGCUGUGUGUGGCUCCCCCUCCACCGUUUACAUCCCCGGUCAUAUUUUCGUAGUGCUUAGGCGAAGCCUUGUGGAGAUCACAUCAUCAUCACCGUCAUCACGCCAUCGUGCUGCCAAAAUUCAUCUACUACCUCGCGAUCUUGCUGGAUCAAGAAGGUUGAGGACGUCACCGAGCUGAACGUGUGCAGAACAUGGAGGUGUCGUGCAUUCGGUACUAGAUCGGUUGGCGUGCGAAGAAAGUUUGACUACAUCAACCGCGUUGUAAAAUGCUUCCGCUUACGGUCUACGAGGGUACAUAGACACACUCUCCCCCUCUCGUUUCUAUGCAUCUCCUUGAUAGAUCUUGCAUGUGCAUAGAUUUUUUUUAUUUUCCAUGCAACGUUUCCCAAUAGGAUGCACUGGUGAAGUUUACACCAACUCUCGAGAUGAUAAAGGGCAAUGCACGGUACCGAAGAGGCUAGCAAAUUGCAGAAAGGUAAGAGCGCGUAUAAUCCAUGGACUCACAUUAGUCAUAAAGAACUUACAUACUUAUUGUGAAAGUUUAUUAGUCCUCAAACAAAAGUACUACUCACAUGCCCCUUGGGGGAUAGAUUAGUAGGAAAAUAUCAUCGCUCGUCCCCGACCGCCACUCAUAAGGAGACACUGAAUAAUAAAUCAUGCUCCAACUUCAUCGCAUAACUAGAGACUAUAUGUGCAUGCUUCGGGAAUCACAAACCUUAACAUUAAUAUUCUUACUAAACCACAAUCAUUCACUAGUACAUCCACAUAUCACCAACUUAGUAACGCAAAUCUAUUGCAAGGAAUCAAACAUAUUAUAUUCAGUGAUCUACAUGAAAGUUUUUAUUAUAUACUUCUUGAGUACCUAUCCAUUAUGGACUAGUCUUAUAACCGAUGCAAAUUGCAGUAAUAUUUAUUAGCCUCUCAAAAAAUAUUUAAGUGAAGCGUGAGAGUGCAACUAUUUCUUUAAAAUAUAACCACUGCCUUACUCUAAAAGAUAUAGGUGAAGCACUAGAGCAACUGCCUAGCUCCAAAUAUAUAAGUGAAGAACAUAAAGUAUUCUAACAAAUCAUGAAUAAAUGGGUGUCCCUCUCAAAAGGUGUGUCCAAUAAACAAUGAUUGUGGUAAACUAAAAAGCAAAUAAAGCGAAAACUACUAUGGCACAAGACGCUCCAAGUAAAACUCAUAUCAUGUGAUAAAUAAAAAUAUAGCUCCAAGUAAUAUACCGACAGUUUGUAGACGAAAGAGGGGAUGCCAUCUAGGGCAUCCCCAAUCUUAGACACUUGGAUCUUCCAUGAAUAUUACCUUGGGAUUACUCAAGCUUAGGGUCUUGCCCCUCCUUAUUCCUUCAUCCAUUGUAAUCUCACCUAAAACUUGAAAACUUCAGCAUCCAAAACUCAGCAGAAACUUCAUGAGAUCUGUUAGUAUAACAAGCAAAUCAUAAACUUUAUGUACUGUUAUGAACCCAUUCAUAUUUUAUUAUUUCAUAAUACUUAAUUUAUUCUAACUUCUCCAUGACUUAAACCCCCGAUGUAAUACAUAGCAUCACUAAAACAAGCAAACUAUGCAACAAAAACAGAAUAUGUCUAAAAUAGAACAAUCUGCAAUGAUCUGAACAAAUGUCAUAUUUCUAUAACUCUAAUGAUUCUGAAAAUUUAGUACAACAUGGAAUUUUUUUAUAUAAAUCAUGUGUAAAAAGUUUAGAUUGAAAGCACGUUGCAGUGAUUUUAAAGAAUUCUGGACUGAGCACAAAAGUUUCUGUUUUUCACACAAUCAACUAUCAAACAAAUCAUCCCAAAGGCUUUACUUGGCACACACGCUAAUUAAAACAUGAAAACACAAUCAUAACAGUAGCAUAAUUAUUUAAGCACACCACAAAUAGAAAGUAAAAAGGAAAAUUAAAGAUAACUAUUGGGCCUCCUAACAAACGCUAUUGUUUUACACCCCUAGUUAGGCGUAAGACAUUGUUUCAAAUGUUGUCAUCUUUCAAGUCCAAUUCCUCAAUUAUAGAACCAUGCUUCCUAGGAGGCUCAGCAUUCAUGUUAGUAAUCGCACUCCUAGGGACAAAGUUAGGAAUUCAUUUUCAUAGACAGGUUCCUUUAUCAAAUCAAUGAAAUUGGGUGCAAAGUAAUCAUUUUAAUAUCUUCGUUCCCAUUACUAGAUGUUCCCCCCAUAUUCUUAGGCACGUACAUGAACUUGCAAUUCUUAUUAGGAGGAGUCCUUUCAAUAAUUUGAACGGGAGAAAAAUCAGAACCCAAGUUAUUAAUUACUUCUUCCAACUUAUCAAUUCUACAAGGACUUCGUUCUAUUCUCAUUAAUUAUUGGUUCCUUAUCCUUUAACAUUUUUAAGUGGUUCCUACUUUUGAGCCCAAUUGAGCAACAUGGUUAUGAAACUUUUUGUCUAAAUUCUCAAUAUGUUCAUUGGUAGGCAUUUUAUUCUCAAUAGCUUCUAGCCUUUUCAUUAAAUGUUCCAAAGUUAAAGUUGUUUCAUUAAUAAUAAUAGGUGGUGAUCCCACUAAAUUUAUCAUAGCAUUGAAAGUAUCCAUAGGGUGACUAAUCAAGAAAUUCCCUAUGGUAAUAGUGUCUAGCAAAAAUCUAUAUCAAGUAGUAGCACCCACAUAAAAUUGCGAAGAAGAACGGUGGUGGAUUGCUUACGAGUUGAUCUAUUUUGAGCACCGCAAAUCCUAUACCAAUCAUAUUUUAAAAUUUCUCCUCCCCUUUGUUUAAAAUUAAGCACUUCAUUUUUAGGGGUACAAGAGCUUGAGAAGAACUAGCCAUAGUGGCAAAGCAAGCAAACGAGCAAACAAAUAUUUUUGUGAUUUUAUAUUUAUUUUAUGAGAAGUGGGGAGAUGAAAAUGAGAGGCAAAGGCAAAUAUAAAUUAGCGCAAGUAGAUGAUAGUUUAUGCGAAGGUACUUGAUAGGUUUUUAUGAUGUUCCCCGGCAAUGACGCUAGAAUUCUCCCUGUCCCCGAAGAGGAGAUGAGAUGUUGUACAAUAGAGAUAAGUAUUUCCCUCAGUGAGAACCAAGGUUUAUCGAAUCAAUAGGAGAAUCAUGCAAAGCCUCGUGAACAGCACCUGCACACACAAAAGCAAAUACUUGCACCCAACACGGGCAAGAGGGUUGUCAAUCCCCUUGAACUCGUUAUUGCAAAGAUCAAAUCUCAUAGUCGUAAAUAGAUAAAUUACAAAACAAAAUAAAAGUAAUAAAAUUGCAGCAAAGGUAUUUUUUAUAUGAUUAAAGUAGACCCAGGGGCCAUAGUUUUUACUAGAGGCUUCUCUAUCGAACACGUGGCAUAUGGUGGGUGAACAAAUUACCGGCAAUUGAUAGAAGAGUACGUAGUUAUAAAGAUAUUCAAGACAAUGAUCAUGUAUAUAGGCAUCACAGCCGAGACAAGUAGACUGACUCCGGCCUACAUCUACUACUAUUACUCCACCAAUCGACCGCUAUCCAGCAUGCAUCUAUGGUAUUAUGUUCAGAAAAACAUAGCAAUGUCUUAAGCAAGUUGACAUGAUGUAGACAAAGUAAACUCAAUAAUGUGAAUAAACCCCAUUGUUUUGCCCUUAAUGGCAACAAUACAAAUACAUGUCUUGUCCCUUUCUGUCACUGGGAUAUAGAGCACCACAAGAUUGAAGCACUCACAAAGCACCUCUCCCACUGAAGAUAAAGAAAUCUAGUUGGCCAAACUAAACGGAUAGAUCGGAGAGAAAUACAAAGGUAUAAAAAUCAUGCAUAAUAAAUUUUAGAAAAGACUCAGUUACUUCUGAUGAAUAUUCAGAUCAUAAAACAUAAUUCAUCGGAUCCCAAAAAACACACCGCAAAAGAAGAUUACAUUGGAUAGACCUCCAAGAACACCGAUGAGAACAUGGUAUUGAAGAUCAAAGAGAGAGAAGAAGCCAUCUAAUAGCUAGCUAUGCACCCGUAGGUAUGUGGUGAACUACUCACGCAACAUCGGAAGUCAAUAAGGAUGAUAUAGAAGCCCUCCAUGAUCGAUUCUCCCUCUGACAUAGUACCGGAAAAGGUCUCCAGAUGGGACCGCGGAAGAACAUAAGCUUGCGGCGGCGUAAAAAGUGUUUGGGGUGGCCCUCUAUUUUCCCCAAUAUUUGAGAAUUUAUAGAAGUGGAAUUAUGUCAGACGGAGCCUCGAGGGGCCCACAAGACAAUAGGGUGCGGCCCCCUAGGCGCGCACUUUUGCCUUGCCAUCUCCUCGUUCAUCAUCUGGUUUCCUCCCGAAACUUCUAGGAUCUCUCUUGUCCAGAAAUAAAUGUCAAAAAGUUUCAUAGAGUUUGGACUCCGUUUGGUACUGAUUUUCUUAAAAACCCAAAACAAGCAGAAAACAAAAGCUGGCACUUGGCACUGGGUUAAUAGGUUAGUUCUCAAAAAUGAUAUAAAAUAGUAUAAAAAUGCAUAUAAAGCAUCCAAGAUUGAUAAUAUAAUAGCAUGGAACAAUAAAAUAUUAUAGAUACGUUGAAGACGUAUUAGUAAACUACUCACACAUCUUCGAAGGUGCGGAAAGGUUGAUAUAGAAGCCCUCUGUGAUCGAUUUUCCCUCCGACAGAGUACCGAAAAAGGCCUACAAAUGGGAUCGUGGAAGAACAGAGACUUGCGGCGGUGGAAAAAUUAUUGAGGGUGGCUCUUUGUUGGUUUUGGGACUCAUCGGAAUUUAUGGAAGUGGAAUUAGAUCAAACGGAUCUGCGUGAGACGCACAAGCUCACGUAGUCACGUGUCACCCCCCUAGGGGUGUGCCAUGUGAGCUUGUGACUCUCCCGUAAAUCUUCUGGCCUCCCCCAAAACUUUUAGGGUCUCUUCUGGUCCGGAAAAAAAUCACCAUAAAGUUUCAUUGUGUUUGAACUUCGUUUGGUAUUGAUUUUUUGAAAAUCAAAAAACAUGCAAAAAACAGCAACUGACACUAGGCGUUGAGUUAAUAGGUUAGUUCCCAAAAAUGAUAUAAAAUUUCAUAUAAAGUAUAUAAGAUUGAUAAUAUAAUAGCGUGAAACAAUCAAAAAUUGUAGAUAUGUUGGAGAUGUAUUAAUGGUGGAGCUCCGAGGUCGUGGUGGUGGCGCCUAAUGGAGGUGUGUCGGCACUCUGCAUCAAGGUCUAGCGUGGUGUGGCAGCUCUAGCCAGCGACCCGCGAGGCAUCUCAUCCUACUGCGGCUAUGAGGAUGCAAGAUUUGACCGCGGGGUUGCAAAUGCAUGGAUGUGUUGACCAGAGGAUUUCGAGGGUUGGGUGAAAACCCGUUUAUGGCCAUGGCUGGAGCCUAUGACGGCAACUUCGGUGGACGUCGUAACCUUCUUGAAGGCGUCGACUGGAUGCUCUCUCUUCCUAUGCGAGGGACAACUCCGGGGGAGACUCCAAACCCGACGGUUGGUUGUUGGCGGCGUGUUAAUGACGUUCCCCUCUCGAGGGCAUCAAUUUUGAAGGUUAAUCCGGUUAGAGGGGCCAGUGGGUGUGUUGGGAGGUUGGGCGAUGGAAGGCGUUGUUGUGGCGUCGAGACUUCUGUGGCCAGAUGAUUGGGCAAGUGAAAUCAAAGGCAUUGCGGUGGUUUCGGUAGUCGGCUCUUCUCCGACGUAUCCGUGUGAUUAACUUGAUUUGUUUAUUGCGGUGAAGUCGGAGCUGCGGCGGCAGGCCCCCUGUGGCAACGAGGACAGGCAUCAGGUGGUCUGUUCGGUGGUCUUCCAUGGUGCCAACCUGACAUAGUUCUUCUUUGGAUCUCUCCUUCAGAGUCGGAGCUGCGCUACCCUCGAUGCGGGUGGCUGAGUUCUGGCACAGAUCUUCAUGUGUUUCUACAUGGCCUCUGCGGUGAGGGUUGGGUCUGUGUUCGUCCACAGCAAAGUCAAAGUCGCUUGCUCAGCAAUUAGGGAUGGCAAUGACGCCUUCUAGGGGAUAAGUGAUGAUGAUGACGCAUGUGUGCUAGCUCGGCGAGACACACUCUGUAAAGGUGUGCGGGGAUGUCUGUGUGUGUGUCGAACAGCAGUUUAUGAUGAUUUUCGCUGGUCCUUCGCUAAUUAAUAGGCAAUUCUUUUUUCUUAAUUAAUGGGGAGGCAAAUUUUUUGCCUUUGUUUUUUUCUUUAAAAAAGUUCAAAAUGGACCGCCCGGUUAAAAGAAUGAAAAAUAAUAAUCAGGAGAGUCGAACAACUUGCAUAUAUAUAUCCGGUUGAUUACGUGCCCCUAUGAGAUACAUUGAGAAGAGAACAAGAGAGAUGACGACAUGAUUGGCAUCAUCAGCUGCUAGUGCAUCCCAUUUUAUUAUACGGUUGAUCGUUGUCUGGGCAUAUAUACACCGUAUUUUCACACGCGCAUCGCUGGAUUCAUGGAUGGACAUAAGGAGAGCUAGCAAGACGUGCCGUUGCAACCGCGUCAACAUAGCAAAUCUGAUAUGUAUAUCCUCCUCGUCUCAUGUUCAAGGGUUUUCUAACGCGCAUGUGCGUGUUAACCUACUGUUUGCUAUCACCGUCGGCACAAUUGCAACGGGAGACGCGGACGCGUACAGGUAAACAAGGUUUAACACACUUCGAAAAUUCAGUGCAGGCUGUUGCUAGUAGUCAAUCUAGAAACCUGGCAAUUAGCAGUUUGAAGAGUCUGAUAAGCUGAUGCGGUGCUGUGCUACUCCGGCGAUUUUCGCCUACUCAAAUCUAGAAACACUCCUCCAUCCAAAAAUGCUCUAGCCAUGUAAUCUAGUACUGCCUCCAUCCCAAAAUGUUAGAUUGUUUUUUACACUAAUGAUCUUAUAUUUUGAUGCGGAGGAAAUAUAGAAUAUGAGAGGACGCGGCAAUCUAUUUCUAUGAUUUUUUAUUCAUGUGUUUUAAAGAAUCCUACGAAUUAAAGAGGUCCUAAAAAUUCUAACAACAUCCACAACACCGCCGGCCCAUGGUGGCUCUAGGACCAUGGGGCGUGUUGGAUCCCGGUCCUCGCAGGUGGGAGGACUUCUUUAGACAUUUCUUCGAGUUUUGUUAGGGCUCGUGUCCUGCUCAGGAAGACGGGACGACGGCGGCUCUUUGAAGAUGGAAUAAGGUUCUCUCCGCCUAGCACUCGUCCCAGUGGUGCGCCCAGUAUCGUCGGUAGGCGUGUGGAGAUGUGUCUCCAGCGGAUCUGUCCAUGGUGGAUUUGCUUGGAUCUUCAGGUUAAAUCCUUCUAAUCAACGCUACUAUUCAACGGCGGCGGUUGUUGUUCUGGUCCUAUGAGGCCUUAGGACAAAGACUUCCCGACUGUCUACUACAACAAAUUUUGUCCGGUUCCGGCGUGGGAGGGGUGAUGAUGGCGGCGUAUCUUUGGCUUGCUUCAGUGCUUGUAGUCAUCGUUAGAAGGUCUACGAACUGGAUGUAAUUUUUAUUAUUUCUAACGUUCGUCGUAGUGCCAUGAUUGGAGAUAAAUAAAUCAAGAGUUUUCCUGCAAAAAAAUUACAUUCAUCAUGAAACAUUUUUGUACCACAUAUAUUAUAUUCCUUCCGUUCCUAAAUAUAAAUCUUGUUAAAGAUUCCAAUAUAAACUACAUACGAAGCAAAAUAAGUGAAUUUACAAUCUGAAAUAUGUUUAUAUACAUCCAUAUGUAGUUCACAUUAAAAUCUCUAAAAUAACUUAUAUUUAGAAACGGAAAAAGUAUAUUGUAGGUAUUCAGAUAUAGUUUUCAAAUAUACAUGAGUUUUCUAGAGCCUGAAUACAGGGAGAAGUUUUCCCAUGCUAGUCCGCAACGAUCACAUCGUAUGUUCCUCAAGCUGGGUGGCGAAGCACCCUAGCUACCUUUCUAUGAGGCCAAUUCCAACGCACGAUCCCAAAUGGUCCGGCUGCGUCCAUUUGGGCGCAAACGGACAGAACAGAUGGCCCAACGCGCGGGAGCAAACGGACCAAUGUCCAUUUUCGGCCUCUUUCGACCCAUUUCCGGCUUAACUUUGGACCGCGUUUGCAGCCGAACGGAGACGCGCGUACGGUGCGUGGAGCAUGUCCAUGUCCUCCCUUGACCCGCUCGUCCCGGACACUACAAAAAAAGAUGCAUCCAUGACAUUUUGGGCUGAACGGAUUUUUUUCCUGUCGUGCUUAUGACACUUCCAUGACGAUAAUUGUGCCAAAACCCGUUAUCAUCGUAGGUGUGGUGGGCUCCUACUUCUAUGACAAAAAAUCAUACAGAGAAUGGGCUUUUCGUCCUGGGCGGGUUCGGAAACGCAGCUACAUGACAUUCUUUGGGCCGUCCAUGACGGAAAACACCGUGGUAGAAGCGAGGGCGAGGAAAAUAUCAGGGAGUUCCCGGUUACAGUGGGUGGUCGGGGGCCAAGCGAUGCGCGUUUCUCUCGUACACGUAAGCGCGUAGGUGCGAGGCGUUAGGCUCUAACUGAACCCGAGCGAGGCGCUCGCCUACUAAACCCGAGCGAUUGCACUGUAGGCUAUGCGUAACUGAACCCGAGCGAUCAAUCGAUUUUGCUGUUAACUGAAGCCGAUCGAGCGAUUCCUUCGCUACUGCUGCUAACUGAAGCCGAUCGAACAUGCUGCCUCUUGAUGAACAGUGAGCGUUGUUGGGGGGUUGGAUGAACAGUUCCCGGUGGGGGGUUGGAUGAACAGGACCCCGUGGUAGUAGAGGCUGUUGCCGCUGGAUGAACAGGACCCCGAUCGAGCCGGUUGGGGGUGGAUGAAUAGGACCCGUGGAGGGCUGGAUGAACAGUAGCCCGUGGAGGGGUGGUUGAACAGGACCCCGUGGAGAGGGUUAGUUGAACAGUAGGCGGUGGAGGAGCGGUGGAGGCUGGAUGAACAGAAGCCCAUGGAUGAAUAGUCGCAGGUGGAGGCUGGAGGAGGUCGACGAUGGAUGAACAGUAGCCCGUGGAGACUGGAGGAGGUCAACGGUGGAGAUGAACAGUAGCCCAUGGAGUCCUGUUUUGCGGUACGCUACACCCCUCCUGAUGAACAGGACUCCCGUUUCGACCGUAGCGCUCUAACACAUGUCUGUUUCCUCCAUUUUGCGGUACGCCACACCCCUCCCGAUCAACAGGACCCCGUUUCAACCGCAGGCACUCAAACACAAGUCCAUUUCCUCUAUUUCGCGGUACGCCAGAUGUCGGCAUUUUGGGAACGGGGGUCCCCACACUUGCCUGCCUACGGCCUGCUGCGUGGCUCAACCAGUGGCCCAGUACGGCCCGUCUUCAUCGACCAACCACUCAAGACCCUUGCGAGGGGCCAAGCCUCGCGGGGCAGACGACGCAAGGCCUCCUCAGGAGUGGCCUCAUCAGGCAGGCUCACGAGGAGGUGGAGAGAUCAAGGCAAGGGGUACCUCGCGAGGUUCCCCUGACGCAAGCCAUGACGAUCAAGACCAGGCGGGCGCCAGCCCACGCAGUGUCCUCGUUUCCCCUUUGGUGCUAAGGGGGCAAGCACAGGCGCGGAGUACCGAGGCACCAGGCAAAGGUUUCCAUAUCGAUGCAACAAGACCAAGACCAGCAGGACGGCAGGACGGAGGUCACCGUGGAGCCCAAGACAGCGUCAUCACCAGCGCCUUUGGCAGGCGAAGACCACCUUUAGUCUGGAUAGCUUGUACUAGUUGUCCCCUUUCAAAAUGGCCUUUGUUGGAUCCCUUCCUGCUCAAUAUUUGGGAAGAGGACCAGGGCCUCUAUAAAUAGGGCUAGCCACCACAGUAGAGGGACAUCUAAUCCAAGGGCGACGGAUCGAAUCCUUCCAAAGCAGAGCACCACACCAGCUCAAGAACACCUCUCCUCACGAGGCCGUUCUUCCCUUGUACUGUUCAUCAUCAGCACAAGAGGCAAUCCACCAUCACACACAGGAGUAGGGUAUUACACCAAAACGGUGGCCCGAACCUGUAUAAAUCUUGUGUCUCUUGUGUUGUGAGUUCAUCGUGUUAGCUUAGAGAUCGCGGCGAGGCUGAGGGCGUGUUUCGGUAGGGAGAAAUCUUCAUGCGCACCCCUGUGUUCGAACCUUAAGGACGGGACUGAGCUCACUCAAGGGCCGGGACCUAAGGACGUAGAGCAUGAAGGAGAGUGUGGGGAAAAAAGGAAAAGCUCGCGAGGGCCUAACCUAGCUGCGCCACAGCUGCCGAUGCGCAAAUCAGGCGCAACGCAAAGGAACGACUCCAGACUACGGAGAUAAGUCUUGCGCUUGGAACAACUAAUCGUUGCAACGCAAAAUUUUCACUUGUUGUGGCUCUGUAAUGGCAACGUUGCCUUCCUUUAUCACCUCUAGGCGGCUGCUUGCACGCUAAAGGGGACCUCCUGAGCAUUGCGCCUCAGGGGCUCUUACUGGACCUCGGGCCGCUCACCUCCUGGCCUUGACCACGGCAUCACGACCUGGCAUACCAGCGACGGCUGCAGCCUGCCUGGGGACCGGGACCUGUCAGCAUAGAGCACCAAGUCGUCGCGAGGUUAGAAAGGGGGAACCAAGCCGGGACAGAACGAGCGCUCACAUGAUUUCAUAAUAAGGAUAACAUCAACAGAGGACAUCGCAGACCCUUUACACGCCCCCGCGGUGUGUUUUCUCGAUUCCUCGCAGGGAACAAAGGACGAGAAUCCUAAGGAGCCCUAACUACCCGCGCCUCCAUGGCCGACGCCAUCAUCAACAGUGGGCCACAAGAGACCGGCGCCAACCCCAUCCACAUCAGCCGCAACGAUGUCCUAAUGCUGCCGCCCUGCCCCGAGCAUAGCGCGAGCUCGGGGGCACGUAGCUAUCGUCGCUCGUAUUCAGAGUCUCGAAGAGCACAGAAGAGUCGCUGCCGCUGCCGAAGGAGCCUUUGGGGGAGCGAACGGCAGGCCCAGCUCCUGCCGCGACGAUCUCCCAACUGCCCCCUCCGGGGCAGCAUUCCAGGCGGUGGCCUUCCGCGUUAAAGACAUUGAAGAACAACAUGGAGGCGCCGUCGUACUCGAAAUGGAUCACGAGGGCGCCUCCUGUUCAGCAGGCCCGGGAGACCUCGCCCCAGCCUCGGGUCAUGAAUACCUUCCCGGGGCAACGACUUCAACCUCCGCUCCGGUCGCUAGAGCGCUGCAGCUGGUGUGCUGCAGCCAAAGCUUGAGAGGCCCCCUCAGCGGCAUCUCGGUGGCGAAGAACGAAGGGAAGCGGAUCCAGGUGCUUGGAGGCAUCACCGCAUGCAGCACGAGCUCGCGAGAGGAGUCCGCAGCGUGGACUCCAGGAGCGACGGCGCGCGCCGCCACGGCUCGUCGACCUCGCCUGCGGCGUGGGCGGCGUCGCUCGCCAUCCGUUUCUCCGGAGCCCUCGGCUUGGGCGUACAGGGGUAGCGGGAACCCAGGAGGUGGUCGCUCGCACCAAGGCCUCGUCAUCUCCAGCCUCGCAAUCUCGUCGCGGUGGCGGUGGGCCGGCCUCUUAUUCGGCGGGAGCAGAUCAGGUCCCUCCCGGGGAGCCUUCCCCUUCUCUUCGGCCAAGAAUCUACGGAUCGGUGCCAUUGGCAUGAAGAAUGGCGAUGGAGCAAGGGAGAAGAAGCAGGCGGAGCAAGAAGAGAUGGGCAACGGGGGCUCUCACCCCUCCUCAUUUAUAUUCCUAGGCAGGCCAACCGUCUACCUCCACGAUCGCAGGUAAUGAUGACUCUUUUUGCAUGCAGCAGGAACUCGUCAAAUCGGGCAGUUGCCGAGGCAGCAUGGGAAAGCGGAGACGCCCACGCCCAAUCAGUCGCCAUGCGUCAACCAAGGCCGCAGGCUGUUGGGGCCCGCGGUGCUCCGCACUUGCCCUUUGGCUUCGCUGCUAAGCCAAGUCCGAGCAUGCCUUGGGCCCGGGGGCUACUGUCGGCGUUCUGGGAACGGGGGUCCCCAAACUUGCCUGCCUAUGGCCUGCUGCGUGGCUCAACUAGUGGCCCAGUACGACCCGUUUUCAUCGACCAAACACUCAAGACCCUCGCGAGGGGCCAAGCCUCACAGGGCGGACGACGCAAGGCCUCCUUAGCAGUGGCCUCACCAGGCAGGCUCACGAGGAGGUGGAGAGAUCAAGGCAAGGGGUACCUCACGAGGUUCCCGAGAUGCAAGCCAUGACGAUCAAGACCAGGCGGGCGCCAGCCCGCGCAGUGUCGUCGUUUCCCCUUUGGUGCUAAGGGGGCAAGCGCAAGAGCGGAGUACCGAGGCAUCAGGCAAAGGUUUCCAUAUCAGUGCAACAAAACCAAGACUAGCAGGACGGAGGACAGCGUGGAGCCCAAGACAUCAUCAUCACCAGCUCCUUUGGCAGGCGAAGACCACCUUUAGUCAGGAUAGCUUGUACUAGCUGUCCCCUUUCAAAAUGGCCGUUGUCGGCUCCCUUCCCGCUCAAUAUUUGGGAAGAGGACCAGGGCCUCUAUAAAUAGGGCUAGCCAUCACAGUAGAGGGACAUCUGAUCCAAGGGCGAUGGAUCGAAUCCUUCCAAAGUAGAACACCACACCAGCUCAAGAACACCUCUCCUCGCGAGGCCGUUCUUCCCUUGUACUGUUCAUCAUCAUCCCAAGAGGCAAUCCACCACCACACACAGGAGUAGGGUAUUACACCACAACGGUGGCCCGAACCUGUAUAAAUCUUGUGUCUCUUGUGGUGUGAGUUCAUCGUGUUAGCUUAGAGAUCGCAGCGAGGCUGAGGGCGUGUUUCGGUAGGGAGAAAUCUUCGUGCGCACCCUAGUGUUCGAACCUUAAGGGUUUUGCCGGAACCCGAUAUCCGACACCAGACCCCUCCCGAUGAAUAGGAUCCUGUUUCGACCAUAGGCGGUCGAACACAAGGUCGUUUCCUCCGUUCUGCGGUACGCUAGGCCUUGUUUCGAUUGGCUGUUCCAUCCAAGCCGGUUGCCUCCCGAUUAACACGACGACGCAGUUUCUCCAUUGCGACCCAGCCGGUUGGCUACCGAUGAAUAGGACACCAUCGCUGCCUCUCCAUGUACACGAGCCCUGGCCGUACAUAUGCGCGAGUAGGCGUUCGAGACCCCGCCCGUAUGUACGCAUGUGGCUGUAUUUACUUUCUUGCACCUUGGCUGUACGUACAUGCACAUGCUACGUGCGCGCUUCUACUACGACACGUGCCCUUCCUUACUCGGCCACGGUUCAUUGCUGCACCCUUCAGGCAGACCGAUCGACCAGUAUGUACAUACAUGUUCGCGACCAGAAUGGCAACGCUACGUAUGCUUCGACCAGGUGGGUCCCGACUGUCAGGCACUUCCUUGCAUGCGAAGAUGUAGCUUGUGGGUCCUAGCAGUCAGGGGGGAAACGUUUUUUAAGUGAAAUACGGUGGCCCGUCUGGUGGGUCCCUGCUAUCAGGUGGAGGAAUCAUUAGUUUGCGCGUAAUAAGGAGGCACUUGCUUGCUGUGGCCGUGGACCCAGCUGUCAGCCUUUCCAUGUACAGUACUCUUCCAAUGGAAGUCGUUGCUUGACCACAUUGACCACGCCGCACCGAGAGCACCAAGGCGGUGGACGACGGCGAGGCCUAGGAAGGGGACGACGCGGAGCGGGGAAGAUGCGGCAGUGGAUGCCCACGUGGAGAGGAGAACGAGGGUUCACUGGUUCGGCUGCGGUGUGAGUAGAUGGAUAGCCUGGCUAGCGGUGGGAGUAGUGGGGGGCGGUGAGGACUCCACGGCAGCACAGCCGACCAUGGGAGGCAGGAGUAGGCGGCACGACCGGCGCUGGUUUGGGCGGCUGGAGCAAGAAGACCAGAGGUUGAAGAAGAACUACGGCUGUUGGAUGAACAUUGUACGGUCAGUAGAGGUAGAAUCAUUCAUAUUAACUAAGUUGACAAAGCCCUCCGCCCGCGUCAACUUAGUAGGCCCACAAGUCAGCCUCCGAACUGGUGCGCCCCAGAUGUCAGUGGGAGGAAUCAUUUUUUUCCCGUAAUAAGGAGGCAGUUGAUUGCGUGCGGCCAUGCCAGUGGAGGGAGUAGGGUGGGCCGGUGAAGCCUGUGCGGCAUCACAGCGGGCCACAAGAGGAGGGAGCAGGCAGUCCCGUCGGCGCUGGUUUAGGUGGCUGGAGCAGGAAGAUCGAAGAUUGAAGAAGCACGUCGGCCGUUGGAUGAACAUCCAACAGUCAGUGCUGCUAGAAUCGUGUGUUGACCGACAAAGCCUUGCGUAACAAAGCCAGCCUCGAAAACUAUGGCGUGUACAACCCAUUUGUUAUUAUUUUUAUAAUUUUUACUCAUUUUCUAAUUCAAAUGGAAUUUAUUGCAGCCCAUUUUCCAUUUUUAGAAUUGCCGCCCAUUUUUUGGUCAGUGCCAGGGUUAAAAAAUUGAACUAAAAAAUGUGCGAAAUUUUAAAAUUUUGCAUAUUUUUGCUGGGAACAAAAUAUUCUUAAUCCAAAAAUUAGUAGCCAUACUAAAACAAAUUUAAAAAUAAAUUAGUACUAUAUCAUGUUAAAAUCCAAUGAAAUAUAAAAUAUCCGUGAAGAACAAAAACAAAAAAGAAACUAAUUGCCCAUUUGCUAUAAUUUUUUUGGAAUUUGCAACCCCUUUGAUAUUACUUUUAGGAUAUACUGACCAUACUGUUUGGCCAGGCCAGAAUGCAUCCCUCCUCGUCUUGAAAGAUUUGCAGCCCAGUAAGUCGGAGAAAACAAAUAGGCCUAGCUUGGGUAUUCUUCAAAAAGAAAUAGUGGGCUACCUAUUUUCCCAAAGAAAAAACUGUUGGGCUAGUCAUAUUGUUAGGUGGGCCACAGAGACCGCACAACCCAGUUUAUAGCCUGCUCCUCUGAACAAAUCCUCAAAAAAAUGUUGUGCAAUUUUGUCUUGAAUUGAGUAUACGUUGACUACGAUAUGGGUCCCAAAUAUCAAUAGGGUGGAUUAGAGUAAAAAAUGAGGGGUGCAUCUUAGUAGUAAAAGAGGUGCUUGCUUGUGUUCGGGAGUGGACCGGGUGGGUCCGUACUUUCAUACUCACAACUACAGUCCUCUCCCGAUUCACUAUGUUGACAAGGCCGGACGGUGGCACCGCGGCGAGCGCACCAAGGCGGAAGAUAAAGUGUGAUCGCCAAUGUGUUGGCAUGGGUUGGACAUUCUUAUUGAUGGUUGCAGGAACUAUUUACGAUGUUAUUAUGAUUUUCAUGGGUUCGCUGGUUGCAGGAAAAAAUGGUGGGAGAAAGAAGACUGGUCGCUAUCUUUGCCUAAGAAUAAUAUCUACUGAAUGUAACGGCACUAUCAUAGAAAAUAAUGUCCUCCUGUUAAAAUUUGACUUUUCAAAUCAUGAAUUUAAAGAACUCGUGCAUGAACAUUUAGCUUUAUUUAUUUAGUUAUUUAGUUAUUCAUGUUUAGGGGACCAUGAGCAUGUACCUGGGCCGGAUUCAUGUGAGAGCCUCCCUUCUAGUUAAUUAUGGCCUCCUCUAUUGGGCCUUCAUCAAUGAGUUGCAUGUUAUCGACAAGUGGAAAAUGUGUUCCGUACCAAAAAUAGUAUGCGCUAUGUACAGUACGUGGCACUAAAGGAUCAGACUGUGCAAUGACUUCCAAAACAUUGUGUUUGUCGUUCCAAUAACAUAUUUAUUCAACCAACAGAUGAGAUAUACUACUGAUUGUACAUUGAAAACAGCAGCAACAGCAAUCAGGGCUGGGGAUGCAACAGAAGCAGUAAGCAGGCCAGAAGAGCAAAGACGCAGCUCUCUCUUCCAAACCAAACAUGAGCCAUCAUUACAAAAGGGCUACCAAAAAGGAACAAAUGUAUGCAUCAAACUAAAUAAAGAUCCUACUACACUAAGUGUACGCAUCUAACUAACUGGCUCAGUUAGACGUUACUAUUUAUUAAGCUGUGGAGAUUGGCUGACGGCUUGAACCAGAUGGGUGCCUGACGGGGGAAACUCCAGCCAGCAGAUCGAAGUUUGAUACUUGUGACCCUCUCUCCUACUUUGGGCUGCAGAGCGUGGCGGCACAUAUCAAGGUAUGGUGCAUGAAGAGACGCAUGGUACGCUGUGUACACACAGUUUUGCCUGAUGAACGAAACCGUGCUGCCAUCAUGAUCCUUGUCGUCGGUUGUCUCCUGGUUAAUUGGAUAAUUCAGUCCGAGAAAUAGAGAACGUGUACCAAGGCUACUUACUAGCCGCCAGUAAAAAAAUCCUGAAGUCCCAGAGAAGCUGGGAUCCUUCUUAAAGACCUUGUAUUGACUUUGAUUGUAUUCCGCGAAACAACACGUCCUGUACGUGCGAAUGAUCAUCAAUCAUUCGCGGUUGUCUGAUCGAGCCAGGAACCACCUGUAACUGUCAUGUCGCUUUUCUUUGAAAGGUUCUGGGAUUAGGAAGGGUCGGGACACCAGGUGGCCUACAACAUCAUAUCAAGUUGGAGUCAAAUAAAAAAGGGCUCUUACUGUAGUCGAUCUUAAAAACAACAUGUUAUGAGCAUGAAUAUUUUUUAGUAAAUGUUGACAGUAAUAUAAGAAGGCCAUCAUGAUAUCAUAGAAAAGUAACAUACUGCUGUAACAGCCGUUUGUAGCGAUGAGUAGAGUAGGCCAGCAAUAUGUCCAACCAUAGAAGGAGUCGACAUCAUAAAUGAAUCCCUUGUGUUCAAUGACAUCAGAGAACCAUGGAGGAUGUAUGAUCCGAUGGACGUGCAGAUUUAUCCAUUUACCACAGCGACCUGUCAGAUAGGUGAAACCGCGGUUGAAGAACACAAUUAGCCUGAAGUCUUUAUAAUUCACAGAUCUUGUGGGCACUUGGCAGAUUACAACCUUGAGCAAAUCAAACUUGGUAUCAUGUUGUCUACUGUAAGAUUCCGAGUAUUCUGGGCCACGGUGCCAAAGUAGUGCAGUUUUAAUCAAAGGAAGGGGGAUCAAUCGCCGGGUGUAGACCUCCACAAGCAUCCAGCUGCCGCAACCAUCGACGAGCACCAUCCAAGAUGUGUUCAUCCCGACCCGGUACAUACCGUUAAUGUAGUUGAGGGUGACAAGGAUCAGAUCGCAGUCAAGGGGGUUGAUGCUCGCCACCCUACAAUCGUUAUGCUACGUCACAUGCCGUUUCUGAAGAUCAGGCGACAUCAGCAAGCAAGGAGCUCGCUUAAAAAGCUCUGGCCUAAGGGCUUUGACUAAACGGUACAUCCCCACGAGCACGCGGCGAGCGGCAUGGUACUGAGAUUAUCCACUCGCGAAACAAUGAGCUUGAUUACCUCUGUGGGGAGCGAAUUCCAGCCACUCUUUCAGCGGAAGCUGCUCGGUUCUGCCAUUUUUAGUGCUUGGGUUUCAGAAGAGGGGGGAGGCGCCUUAGCGGGGAUGGAAGAAGAUUAGAUGAUCAUGUGCGGACAAAGAUGAAGAAGCGAAUAUGUGCUGUGGGAAGUGGAUAGGUGAUGAUGACUACAGCACGCCGCUUGACUUAUGAGACACAUACCAGCCGCGUAGGGUCAUAUCGAUGCCAGACAACUUGCUUGAGUGAUCACAGUACUAGUACUCCCUACAGUACCUACUACUAUGCCCUAGUUUGCAUAUAGAGUAGUGGAGUAGGACUCUGCUCUACUACUAGCACCGGAGGAGUAGUAUAUUCUAAUCUAAAAUAGUUACAAAUUUCAAUGCCCGAGUGUGGAACGACUAUGAACCGCCAUCGGUGCUUACUCCAAUCCCCAACAAACGUUCGCUGGGACACAUGGUAGUUGCAAAUGCCCGCGACGCAGUUAUAGUGCGUGUGUAAGGGUGGAGGUUUUUCCAAAUACUAUGGCUUAAAAAUAGGGCACCGUCAGAUGGAAAUCUAACGGUUACGUGGGAUUCGCCAGGAUUGAGGUCGUGGCGAACAAUCGCCAGAUAUCAUUACUAAAAAAAGGUUAAAACACCCAGGACUAUAACUUGCACCGGUUAUUAACAUAGUUGUAAAAUGGUCAAAGACCGUGUCUACAUGGUGUUUGGAAUUUAUAUGCAAAAAACUAGCAAGAUGCCCGUGCAUUGCACGGAACAUCAGAUGCAUUUUUUUAAAAAACAUUUGUUGUGAUUGACUCAUGCAGGAGUAAUCCCAUGUGUAAAAACUAAUGAUAUCUCGAGAAUUUUAUCGAAAAAAUGGUAACUUGAAAAUUUCAUCGCAAAAAUGAUAUCUCGAGAAAGAUGAGAGAUAAGGUGAGGAGGAGAGGGGCGUGGUGGUCGGAUUGGGCGGAGGCAUGGGCAUGGACGGCGCCGGCAGCGGCCACCAUGCCAGAUUGUUCUAGAGACUUCCUUUUUUAACCGCUCAACAAUGAGGUUGUGGGAGAUAAGGAUGAACGAGGCAAGGCCUUAUCUGUAAAUGUGGAGAGAUGUGCGGGUAUCUUUUGUAAAAUGGUCAUAGUUUUCUUUCUAUCAGUCAGAUAUAGAUCGGACGGUCUAUAUUACAAGAUGAUAUGCACACCAUCAUCACCAACUCGGCCCCUCGUGCUCCUAGUAGUAGUACUCAAGUUGGAAUUCCAAUUGCACGGCACAAUUUGUUAGGCAAAAAAACGAUACAGGGUGUAGGAAGUGGUUUGGGAAUUUGCAUGCCUUCCCGACCAUUGAGAUACUCCGUACAAAGCACUGUUCAAGAUAUCUUCCGAUAUUCCGAUAAAUCGGCCGAUUUAUCGCUUAUCGUGGUCAGACCGAUAAGAUAAAUCGACCGAUAAAUCAACCGAUAUGGCGAUAAAUCGGCCGAUAUGCCGAUAAACUGACCGAUUUACCCCUUAUCGUAGGUCGACCGAUAAGUUCCCGAUAAGCGAUAUCCCCAACAUUGGUACAAAGUAUGAUAGAGAAAUAACCACGGAGAAGGAAGCUAAAAGUAAACAAUCAAACGAGCAUUUUUGCAUUUGUUUUGCAUUGAAUUAUUUCAGAAGCUUGACUAGUGUUGUUUUUCUAAUUUUACAAAAACCGCAUCGUAAUGUUAAAAUGUGCAUUUGCACGUACAUAAGUAAUAGUAGUAGCAAAGUUUGCAAGCAUAGAGAGAGAGACGUAUAGUGCGAUAGUAUAUAGUAAAGUUUGUGCUAUAUGCAUGUACUUACAAAAUGCAUACAAAUACACAAGGUUUCCAAACUUUUCCUUUUACAUAUUUAAUUAAGGAUUCUAAUAAUUCCCGAACAUUCGGGAUUUCUCAUUUGCGUCCCAAAACUAAUGAGAUCGCCUUACGAAAUUAAAUUAUAUUCCUAAUAAAAGCCACGACGCUCGCAGAAGCGCUUGCGGCGCACCACAAGUGCCCUGGUGCGCGGUCGUUUCCAAAUGCGCCGACACAACGCCUAUUCCUCAGCCUGGCAACUCGCGAGGUGCUGAUUGGCGGCUUGCCGGCGGGCGAGCGCGAUCUCAUCGGUGUGGUGAUCCGGCGCCAACAUGUACUCCUCCUCGAUGGAAGCAUGCACCCGGUCCAUGUACCGCCAAGCGUAGAUGAGGCGCUUGGGCCCGAUUGCACUCAGGGCUUUGGCACGGGCUUCCUCCGCCACCCUCACGGCCCUCGCACGAGCCUUCUGCCAAAAAGCCAAUUGCCUGACUCUCUCGGACGCGACAUAGGCCUGCCAGGCAGCAUGCCUUGUGGCGCGCUUCUCUUCCUCGGCCUUCUUCUCCGCCUCUAUUUUGGCGCGCUGUGCCGGAGGCAAAGCCUCCCACAAGGCGACAUCCAUUUCUUUCCAAAGCUCCUCAAGGCUGGGGGGGGGGGCUCGGCGGGCGGCGCGGCAUUCUUGUAACGCCCCUGUUUCGAUGCGCCAGGUGUCUGCCAGUUAUUCGCCAUCCUUGCCAUGUCAUUUGUUUGCGUGUUGCUUUUUGUCAUGUCAUCAUGUGCAUCUCUUUUUGCAUACGUGUUCAUCUCAUGCAUCCGAGCAUUUUCCCCGUUGUCCGUUUUGCAAUCCGGCACUCCUAUGCCCUCCGGUGUUCCCUUUUGUCUCCUGUUGUGAACGGGUGUUAAACAUUCUCGGAAUGGAAAGUGAUUUUCCGAGUGGCCUUGGUAGAGCACCGGUAGACCGCCCGUCAAAUUUCAUUCCAUUUGGAGGUCGUUUGAUGCCCCAAUGUUUAACCGGGUAGCCGCAAAAGCCUCUUUUGUGUGUAGCCCAACACCCCUCCAAAGUGGCCCAUGAGCCCAUCCAUGGUAACUUUGAGUCUCUUUAGGAUAGUAUCGCAUAUUGGGCGUGACAAGUUGGUAUCAGAGCCUCGACCGACCUUCGGAGCCCCCCUUGAUUGGUCGUGUAGUUUGGUCGUUGUCAACUCUAGAAGAAAACUGUUUUCGGAGUCUAGUUAUAUCGGAGAGUAGGAAUUCUUUUUACUCCUCAGCCCCUUCGUCGCUCUGGUGAGGAAUCUUGACGUAGGUGUUUUGAACUACUCCUCUUCCCCGUCAAAUUUUUCUUUAGGAUCACGCAGUUGGUUUUCCGACCGUUGGUUCUCAGCUCUUUGCAUCCGGUGCAUUUCUCGUCAAGUUGACUCGAGCCUCUUCAUCUUUGCCAAGUUCAAUCCUCAGUUGUUUUCUUUUUCCCACCCGACCACCCCUUUUCUUCUCGAAGCCGGAGUCCCUAAUCGAGUAUCCAUCCUACUCGUGCGAAGUCUUUGCAUCCUUUCCUCAAUCAUUUCAACCGGUGUUUUUUUUCUCUUCAAGUAUUUGUCGGUUUCCCCUUCCAAGUUGCCUUUGUUUUUCCCGCCCUCCCACCCUUUUUCUUCCGGAGCCUGAGUCUCUUUCGACCAUCAAUGUCAUUCGUGUGGAGCCUCUUCAGUCUUUCAUCAAUUGUUCCAACCGGUGAAUUCUCUUUUGUUUGACAUUCUUCAUCUCUUUUUCUUUCCGGUGGAUUCAAUUCAAGUUUUUUGGGUUGAUCAUAUUCUUUUCCAUAGCUCAAGUGUUUUCCCUGCUCGUUUGCCUCUCGCCAUUCAAUCAUCCCGGAGUUCGGAAGACAUCUCAGGAGAUUCGUCAGUGUUCCAAUUAAUUCGAGGUGGUCACCUCAUUCAAAUAUUUCAAUUGUUCUGGUGCAUCAACUCCUCUUCAAUCCUUUCCAAUGGUGUUUUCUUUUAGUGGGCCGUAACCCACAGGUCUUUUCCCAGGAUCUUACCUGACUCUUCUAAUUAUUCCGGAGCUAUUCCCAAAUUCUUUUCAAAGUGUGACGUAAGAAUGAAUUUCAUCAGUCACAUGCCUUCUCCAAGAUCGCUUUCAAAAUUCUUUUCAUUGUUGGCUCAACCUUUUCGGUAUUCAUUCUCCCGGAGCAUCUUAACAAAUUUUGGUGGGGUUUCUCGUCGUCAUUUGAAGACAGAAGAAGAGUUUUUCCUCUAAAUCUUAUCCGUUCUCUCGAAGUUUCGUGGUUCUAGCUUCAUGUUAUCCUCUCAAAUUAUUCCAUUUGUCAGAUAUUCCUUUUCUUACCCAUCUGGAGUAUGUCAGAAGUUCUUUUCCCAUUUCUUUUCACCAGAGGCCAUCAUUCCAGAAGAAUUCUUUGUCCUCACAUUUCAGCUACCGUUAUCCAAUUAUCCCGGUGCUUCGUUCAAGUGUUCUUUAAUCAGCUCAUGAUCUCUUUGUUCUUUUGCAUCUAAAUCCCCUCUAGUAUAUUGGUUCUUCUAAUUCUUCCCGGUGAUUCAUUCUCUUUCAUCGGUCAUUUUCGAAUUCUUACGGUGGUUCGUCCAAGAUUCUUUUUCCUUGAUUAUCAUAUUAGUUAAUUCGUUCUUUUCAAUCCUACCGGUGAUUCAUGAAGACUUUCUCAAGUUUUGUGCUAUACUCUCCUUAAUCCUUUUCAAGAAGAAUAAGUAGUAUGUAAAAUCCGUUGCUUGUCAUCAAUUUAAUUUGAUGAAGGAUAAGCAUACAAUAAAUCUUAUUCUUAUUUCAUCCAAGUAAGUAAUCCCUUUCUUCGGAGUUUGUUCUUGUGAAUAAAUUCUAGUUCCAAGUGUUUUCAUCUUUUCUUUUCCGGAGUUCAAAUUUCCUCGGCCAUUUCGUCGGAACCUCCAUCUAAAUCACCGCAAGCCUCAUCUUAUUCUUUCUUCCUUCAUUCUAUCUCAUCAUAUUUUUGUCACCGGAGUUCUUCAUGGUGGUUCUUCAUGAUUUAAUUCAUUCUUCAAGAGUUCAUCAAGAUUCUUGUUGGUGGAGUUCAAGUAUCUUUUCUUCUCACGUCUCAAAGUGCAAUUAAUUCUCCGUAUUCUUUUAAAGUGGAGUUUUGCAUUUCUUCGUUCUUCUCGGCUAUUUAAUCCUUUUCGCUUGUGGUCGGAGAUCACCUCAUAAUUUUGAAAUGUUAUCUAUAAGUCCACAACAAGCAAUUCUUCUGUUGUUGAUUUCUCAACAACUUCGUUCAAUCUUCUCUUCAUAAGGAUACUUUUCAAAGUCAUUUGUGGUAGAAGCUGCCUUCUUCUUCUUCGUUCCUUUUCAUUCCACUAUUUCAAUUCUUCUGGAGGCAUUGUGUUGUUCCUCUCGGCAAGUAUAAUUCCAUCUUCUCAAGUUCAUGUUCUAUUCUUUCCCUUGUUCAGCCAGAGUGUUUCCUAAAUCCUUUUAGUCUUAUUCGUUUCUUAUCUCAUUCUAACAUGAGUGGUUUCAUAGUCUAUUUGAUUCCGUGAGCUUUCGAUUCUCGUCAUUCUCGUCGUUCCUCUCUUCUUCUCGAGUGCUCUCGAUUCUUUGCUUCUUCUCUUGAGUUCUUGUUUCACUCAUCCCUUUUCCCUUCCGUCUCGGUCCUAAGAUCUCGGGACGAGAUCUCUUGUUAGUGGAGGAUUGUUGUAACGCCCCGGUUUCGAUGCGCCAGGUGUCUGCCAGUUAUUCGCCGUCCUUGCCAUGUCAUUUGUUUGCGUGUUGCUUUUUGUCGUGUCAUCAUGUGCAUCUCUUUUUGCAUACGUGUUUGUCUCAUGCAUCCGAGCAUUUUCCCCGUUGUCCGUUUUGCAAUCCGGCACUCCUAUGCCCUCCGGCGUUCCCUUUUGUCUCCUGUUGUGAGCGGGUGUUAAACAUUCUCGGAAUAGACCGUGAUUUUCCGAGUGGCCUUGCUAUAGCACCGGUAGACCGCCCGUCAAAUUUCGUUCCAUUUGGAGGUCGUUUGAUGCCCCAACGGUUAACCGGGUAGCCGCAAAAGCCUCUUUUGUGUGCAUCCCAACACCCCUCCAAAGUGGCCCAUGAGCCCAUCCAAACCCCCUCCAUGCUCUCGAUCGUUCGAUCACGAUCGAGUGGCCGAAAACCGCUCCUCAUUUGGACUCUCCUAGCUCCCAGAAUCUAUAAAUAAGUCCCCUCCCCCGAAAUUCGCGGUGCAAACCCUAGCGUCUUCCUCCUCGCGCCGCCGGACACAUCCGUCCGUGCCGGACAUGUCCGCCGAACACGUCGCUCCGGCCAACCACAAGUCGACACAUCAUCGCCGCCGCCUCCCGCUCCAACCCCGUCUCGCCACCUGUCCCGCCGCUCCUCCGCACCGCGCCAGGCCCACCGGGCCCGGAUCGGGCCCGCGGGGCCCAUCCCGCCACCGCGGGCGCUGCCCCNNNNNNNNNNNNNNNNNNNNNNNNNNNNNNNNNNNNNNNNNNNNNNNNNNNNNNNNNNNNNNNNNNNNNNNNNNNNNNNNNNNNNNNNNNNNNNNNNNNNNNNNNNNNNNNNNNNNNNNNNNNNNNNNNNNNNNNNNNNNNNNNNNNNNNNNNNNNNNNNNNNNNNNNNNNNNNNNNNNNNNNNNNNNNNNNNNNNNNNNNNNNNNNNNNNNNNNNNNNNNNNNNNNNNNNNNNNNNNNNNNNNNNNNNNNNNNNNNNNNNNNNNNNNNNNNNNNNNNNNNNNNNNNNNNNNNNNNNNNNNNNNNNNNNNNNNNNNNNNNNNNNNNNNNNNNNNNNNNNNNNNNNNNNNNNNNNNNNNNNNNNNNNNNNNNNNNNNNNNNNNNNNNNNNNNNNNNNNNNNNNNNNNNNNNNNNNNGUCGCCGGUCCUUGUCCCCGCCGCCAGCGCCUCCCGCUCGCGCCCGGGUGCCCCGCGCCGCCGGAGCCCAUCGGGCUCGCCGGAGCACGCCGGCGCCGCCCCGCCGCUUCACUCUGGAGCUUGCCUCCCCGCGCCUCGCCGGAGCUUCUCACCGCCGGGAACGGGAUCCCCGGGUCCGGAUCCGGCCAGAUCCGGCCACCCCUGGCCUCCUCCGCCCUUCCCCGUGCCUCGCCGGACUGCCCCGACCCACCGGAGCCACUGCCGCCCGCAUUGACUUCGCCCCCCUCUCGAGGUUGAUUUCUGCCAAGUCCCCAAAAACUCAUAAAAUGUUGCAUUCUUUGACCUGCUGUAACUUCAUGUGUGUGGCUCCGUUUGCUGAGUGUAAUAUGUCAAAAUGUUCUUUGUGAGAUGCUAUUCAUUUCAUUCCAUUAUGCCAUGCUUGUUUGAGUCCAUCUUGAUGCCCAAAUCAUCGUCGCAAGAGUGCUAUAUGAUGUUAAUCUGCUGAAACUGUUAUAACUUGAUGAUUGGUCAUUUUUGUUGAAUUUGAUGUGUGCAUCUUAUGAGCUUGAGCCCUACAUGUGUUUUGAGAUACAUCAUGCCAUCUUUACAGUGGUGUCAUCCAUGUAUUUUUGUGAGCCUUGUAGUGAGUGCAUUGAGCUCGUGAAGUAGGGUACUUGCUGUUGCUGGUUUGCUAGGUUGAUUCUGUUAUAUUAUGAGGCUAUGUUAACCUGCUGCUAAAAGUCAUUCUAUGCAUAAUCUGGAGAUGUUCACUAAGGAUGUUUUGUUAUACAUGUCAUGCUCUAUCCAUUCAUGCCCCUAGUUGCAUUUAUAGCCUGCUGUAACUUGUUGUUAUCUUGCUCCAAACUUGCUAAAUAAUGUUGCUGUCACACUGUUAACUUUAAGUUCAAUGUUGCCAUGAUUGUUGUUAGUAAUCCAAGCAUGCUAUGAACUUGCUAUUGCCAUGUAUAGCUUCAUAAAUAUGCCAUCUUGCUGUUGGUCACCUUGGCAUGCCAUGUAAUUCUCUGUGGUGAGUGGUAUAAGCUCACCAACAUGCCUACUUAUUGUUGUUCCUGCCAUGUCUAAGUCUGUCAUAUUACUUGCUAUGUUUACAUGGGUUCCAUCAUAUCGUCUGUGCCUUUUUGGCUCAUGUUCAGUAAGGGACUUUCGUUCUAUGCUUUGAGUAGAAUCAUGCCAUGCUCUAGUUUGCCAUGAUAAGUUCUUGUAACAUGUUGUUUGAUAGCUCUAAACAUUGCAAGCUGAUGUUAUUUUCUGCUAACUCUGAAAUUGUUAUUAUUUGCAAUCUUGCCAUGUCCUUUUGAGCAUGUUCUAGUAGUUUCUGCAGAUGGAUCAGUGUUCAUGUUUUGUCAUGCUUUACCUGUACUUUAUGCCCAUGCCUUUUGUUAUUACGUUGAGAUACUGUAGCAUAUUGUUUUGAUGCUUGCAAUAUGCCUAGUUGCUGUUUUGGACAGCUUGUCCUUUAAACUUGUAUAGAGUGUAUGUGUUGAACCGUUGCUCCGUUUUGGGUGUGCUCUAUAUGAAACUUGCUUAGAUUUGCAUGUAGUUUCAUAUUAUCAUGUUGCAUCCUUGUCUUGAGGUGUUUGCUUGAUGUUUGGAUGCAUUUAGCAUCAAUGCCAUGUUUGACUUGUUUUGCUCAUAUCUUCUAGGCCAUAGCUCCGAAUUAAAUGAACUUUAUAUGUAACUUGACUAGAAUCUCGUGUAGAUCAUCUUGGUGCAUCUUAACUUGCUGUUUAACAACUUGAACAUAAGGUUUAUUCAGAUCUGUACCAACUUUGAAACUUGCAUAUGAGGACUUACCGGAAUUGUUAUAUGUUGUUUCCGGCCUCAUUUAACCUUGCUUUGAUGUGUUGUUCUUGUAUGCAUCAUCUCUUGCCAUGAGUAGUCUCAUCUAGAUUUGUCAUGCAUCAUGCUUGUUAUGCAUCAUGUCUUGUCUAUGUUUGGUGUGUUUACCAUGUUGUGUGCUUCUUCUCGAUAGUUCAUGUUUCAUUGCGAUUGUGAGGAUUCGUUCGUCUACGCUUGGUUCGUCUUCGUGGCUUCAUCUUCUUCAUGGACUCGUUCUUCUUCCUAGUGUGAUUUCAGGCAAGAUGACCGCUACCCUGGAUCUCACUACUAUCAUUGCUAUGCUAGUUGCUUUGUUCUAUCGCUUUGCUGCGCUACCUAUCACUUGCUCUUCAAGCCUCCCAAUUUGCCAUGUCAGCCUCUAACCUUUUCACCCUUCCUAGCAAACCGUUGCUUUGAUAUGUUACCGCUUUUGGCUCAACCCCUCUUAUAGCGUUGUUAGUUGCAGGUGCAGUUGAAGAUUGCUCCAUGGUGGACAGGAUUAUGUUGGGAUAUCACAAUAUCUCUUAUUUAAUUAAUGCAUCUAUAUACUUGGUAAAGGGUGGAAGGCUCGGCCUUAUGUCUGGUGUUUUGUUCCACUCUUGCUGCCCUAGUUUCCGUCAUACCGGUGUUAUGUUCCCGGAUUUUGCGUUCCUUACGCGGUUGGGUGAUUUAUGGGACCCCCUUGACAGUUCGCUUUGAAUAGAACUCCUCCAGCAAGGCCCAACCUUGGUUUUACCAUUUGCCUCACCACCACCUAUACCCUUCCCUUGGGUCGGCCAACCCGAGGGUCAUCUUUAUUUUAGCCCCCCCGGACCAGUGCUUGUCUAAGUGCUGGUCCAAACCGAGUAGACUGCAGGGCCCCCUCGAGGAAACUCGAGGUCUGGUUUUACUCAUAGGAUGUCUCAUCCGGUGUUGCCCUGAGAACAAGAUAUGUGCAGCUCCUAUCGGGAUUGUCGGCACAUCGGGCGGCUUUGCUGGUCUUGUUUUACCAUUGUCGAACUGUCUUGUAAACCGGGAUUCCGAGACUGAUCGGGUCUUCCUGGGAGAAGGAAUAUCCUUUGUUGAUCGUGAGAGCUUAUCAUGGGCGAAGUUGGGACACCCCUGCAGGGUAUUAUCUUUCGAAAGCCGUGCCCGCGGUUAUGUGGCAGAUGGGAAUUUGUUAACGUCCGGUUGUAGAUAACUUGACACCUGAUUCGAAUUAAAACGCAUCAACCGUGUGUGUAGCCGUGAUGGUCUCUUCUCGGCGGAGUCCGGGAAGUGAACACGGUCUUUGGGUUAUGUUUGACGUAAGUAGGAGUUCAGGAUCACCUCUUGAUCAUUACUAGUUAACGACCGUUCCUUUGUUUCUCUUCUCGCUCUUAUUCGCGUAUGUUAGCCACCAUAUAUGCUUAGUCGCUGCUGCAACCUCACCACUUUACCCCUUCCUUACCCAUUAAGCUUUGCUAGUCUUGAUACCCAUGGUAAUGGGAUUGCUGAGUCCUCGUGGCUCACAGAUUACUACAACAACAGUUGCAGGUACAGGUUAUGCGAUGAUCAUGACGCGAGAGUGAUGUUUGCUUGUUUUGGAGUUCUUCUUCUGCUUCUUCUUCGAUCAGGGGAUAGGUUCCAGGUCGGCAGCCUGGGCUAGCAGGGUGGAUGUCGUUUGAGUUUCUGUUUGUGUUUCAUCCCUAGUCGGAUGGUGCUCUUAUGUAAGAUGAUGUUGUAUUUGUGUGGCAUUGUAUGCCUCUUGUAUGUAUCCCCAACUAUUAUGUAAUGUUCAUGUAAUGAUAUCCACCUUGCAAAAGCGUAUCAAUAUGCGGUUCUAUCCUUAGUGGGACCUUCGAAUCUCUUUAGGAUAGUAUCGCAUAUUGGGCGUGACAAUUCUCCUCGUAGCGGGGAGCCGACGCGUCCUUUGACACACGUGCUGGCGAGACUGGGAACACCGAUGUGUCCACCUCAACGCAUCGCGGCGAGGAGCGGAACACCAACACGUCCUCCUCAACUAGUGGCGGCGAGGAAUGGAACGGCGACGUGUGACCGUCCGCUCGGUGCAGCGAGGGGCGCCUAGGCCUUGGGUGGGACGAUGCCAUGGUGGUCGACCUGAGAGGGAGGGGGAGGAGAUAGCGAUGAACAUGAGCAUUCUCCCGAAUGCCAUGGGAGGCACAAUAUUUAUAGCAAGCAAUGGCACACCUAACUAAGAUAUGGACUGAGCUUCACUGACUUAACUGCAGGUGUAGUUGCGUCAUUGACUUGUGGGCCAGAUGCCUGUUAGGCCCACAUGUCAGUGACCCAAUGCACUUGUAGUUGAGUAACUAAAGCAUUGUCCCAUAAGAUAUGUUGCGUGAUUAAUGUAACAACUACGUGGGCAUAUUUGUUGGAGUAAAUUACGGGAGAGGGAAGGUGUGGAAAUAUUGCUGGUCACAACGGAUUGGACGAGUGCGGGGGGAGGAGAGUCAUGCAUGCAGAUUUUUUCCACAUGGGGUGGAGUGGUGGGACUGCCGGAGGGAGAAGGAGAGUCAAGUAGGCGUUCAGAUUUCAAGGUGCACUAAAUUAUUGCACGCGAUGAUUAAGGAUGUCCAUAGUGGUGGUAAUGUGGUAGUAUCUGGUAUCAUGCACACGGGAAUAGCAAACAUGCUGACGUGGCAAAGAAUUAAAGAAGAGAGGGGGGUUCGAGCAACAAAUCUAUAUAGGCCGUCCGAUCUAUAUCUAACGGAUAGGAAGGAAACUAUGACAAUUUACCCGCACUCCUCUCCACAUUUGCAAAUAAGGCCUUCCCUCAUUCAUCCUUUUCUCCCACAAUAUCUUGAUAUUCUGUGCAACGCAUGGACAUCUUUCUAUUGCAUGUAAAAAUCUUUGUCAUUUACUAGUGUUCAUGCAUGCAUGCAAUGCGAUAAUGUAUUGGUAAACACAUUUUUAUGAAGAGCGAGAGCAUUAAUUGAGCAUUUCAUGCAUGCAUGAACACUAGUGAAUGACAAAGAUUUUUACAUGCACUAGCACAUCAAGAUCUUGUGGGAGAAAAGGAUGAACGAGGGAAGGCCUUAUUUGCAAAUGUGGAGAGGGGUGUGAGUAUCUUUUUGCAAAAUUGCCAUAGUUUCCUUCCUAACCGUCGGAUAUAAAUUGGACGGCCUAUAUUGCAGGAUGGCAGGCACACCAUCAUCACCAACUCUGUUUUUAUAAGAGUAGAGAUAAAUAUAAAUAUAAAAUAAAUAUAAGAGUAGAGACAGCAGGGACGUCACGAAAGGAUCGCGCACGCGGGAAAAAGCUGCCGGGCGCGCGUUCGGCGCGCUUUAUAAAAUCCAACGCCCUCCCACCGCUCUGUGCCUUGCCACCUCUCUGUGCCUCGCCACCGCUCUUUGCCCGCUCUUUCUUGCCUUGCCGCAGCCGCGCCACCAUGCUGCCGCGUCGCUGGGAAACUUGGGGAUACCACGGCGUCCGCGUGCGCCCCUCAGAUCCAGUUCCACGGGAUGCGCCUCGGCCUCAGCACUUUUGACACUACCCACAAGGCCGCCCGCGCAUACGACACGGCGGCGUGGUGCCUCCCGUGGCCUCAUAGAACAUUGAACUUCCCCAACGUGCCAACACGGGAGCAGGCAAAGGAGCUCGUGCCUCCGCCGCGGCUUAUCACCGACGAGGAUCGUCAAGACAACCGGAGGCAGGAGCACAAUCUCAGCAUCACCGAGAUGGACGAGGAAGCAAUGGCGCUGUGGCGCCAACACUUCCCGCAGGACAACAUCAACGAGCACGAGUUCUACGCGCAAAGAAGUGCGGAGUGGGAGAAGAGGAGGCAGAGCACGCUGCCUAUCGCGAGGACAAGCGUACGCGGAAAGCGGCCACUCAAUUUAACAUGAGGCUAGGAGCAGCGUCGCCUUGGGACUCUGACGAUUAUCGGUAUCUUGACGCCUACAUUAGACGUCGGAGGAGGACAUCACCGAGGAGGAGGACAUCACCGAGGAGGAGUCAGACGACGAGGAGUAGUUGAUCUAUCUAUUUUCUUAUCUAUCUAUGCUGAGAACUAUCUAUGUCUCUACUCUCUACUCUCUAUCUCUACUUCUCUAUCUCAGCACUCCGGUCCCGCAAAACCUAGCUAUUCCGGCGCUGUAAACGCUUUUUUAACGCGCCGCGUGUUGCGCUUCUGUUGGAGAUGCUCUAACAUGGCAGACGAGUGCUUUAAUGUUGACCACAAGAUGCGUGAGUAUUACUAGUAUAUUUUUCUUACCAUGUUGAUAUUUUAAACCACGGGUGCGAACAUGCAGAGGAGCAAUGAAGACCAAACACGGGAUAUUGGGGACAUCUUCAAGGAGCGUGGCAAGUUAAAGAGGAGCUGCACCAAAGAGGAGCUGCACUAAACACGGGAUAAUGAGAUUUGGUAAGUAACACCCUUUCAAUUACUUUCGUUUAGCCUCGUGUUCUUCGAUGUGUCCAUCUUGUAGCGACCACGAUCCCAAUGGAUCGAAGUCUAUGUGCUUAAGUGUCAACCCUGGAUCAGUAUGCUGACACACACAGUACUCGAGGACUUAUAACAGAGUUCAGUCACACAAUUAUUACAUCGAGGUCCUCAUAAAGAGUAUUUAUUACACAAAUAAUAUGGUUGAAGGCCAUCUAAAUAAAAUAACCGCAGAAACUUCGAAGAUAAAUGAGUCCAUCAACUCCAAUGGCAUAGCUGAGUGCAUGACAACGACCUAUCACACCUUAUUGUUCGUCCGUAAAGUCUACAAUAUGAGAUGUUGCAGCCGUGUAGGUCAGCACAUGGAAUAUGCUGGCAGUGUUACACUGUAUAGCAAUUGAAUGCAAGAAACUAUAUCUACAUGCAUAUUUGGCUGGUGGAGGCUCUAAGUUUAAUGUUUUGCAUAAAGCUAAUUUUUCCCUACAACAAAGGAAUACAUUUUAUUUACUACAAAGUUUAUACCAAUGAUUGAGAAGGUUCCUCCAACUCAAAUCCCAAAAUUAACCAAGUAUUCAUCAUUAAACCCAAUACAUUAAUUAAAGAGUGAUGAGAUCAAUAAUAAUAUCUACCUCUAGAUACUCAAAUUGUCCAUAAUCGGGGACACAGCAAACCAUGAUUAGUUUAUACACUCUGCAGAGGUUACGCACUUUUCCCCAAAAGACUCGACCGCAUCCAUGAUCGGAAGAUCGAGACAUAGUCUUUCUGAAGCAUUAACUCUCUACUCUGGGUAGACCAGUACACCUACUUUCCCCUACAUCUGCUAGUCCACCUCUUCAAGAGCUCACACAACUUACUCAACUAUGCUAGAGCCCAUAAUGGCUUGUGGCUGCACAUGGAAGUUUCUAGGCAUGAAAUAUCAUAUGAUCCCUUUGAGCCUGGGUGGCGAACCGAGGGAAAAUCACACGGGUACUCCGGGAUUCCCAUGGGCAAGCACUGGUUUCUCCAGGUGCCCCAACCAAUCCACCCAGAUGUGUAUUAAAGUUGCCACCUUAAUGUUAUCCAAAAAUUAUUAUCUCUCACAACUUCCAUGAAUCUCAUGAACCAAUCCCCGUCUACGAGCAUGGCUAAGCAUUAUAUGAGCAUAAUGUAUAUUCCCGGGGUGAUCAAAGGUAAUAGGUUCCUACCUCAAGUACUACAACCAAACCACAUGUUCCCAAUCCUACUCAUGCAAAUCUUUGAGGGGCAAAACUAAUGCAUAGUAAAAAAAACUUGGUAUUGAAAAGUAUGAUCAAAGUGUAACUUGCCUUGCUGACGAUCGGAAAACACUAGAGAUUCGUAGUAACAAGCUUCGCACUCCGGAAAAUCUAGCGUAGACAAACAAUAGCAUACAUAAGCAAACAAGCAAACGAUGCAAAGAGAAAAUGAGAAAAGAUCCAAAGAAAACUCAAAAGCAAUCAAAUAAAUAAUCUAAACAGAAAAAAAUUCUAGCAGCAUUAUAAUUAUGUGGAUUAGAUCUUAACAGUGGGUAUAUGUGAUUAGCUACGAUUUGCAAAAAGAAUCAACUAAAACAGAGCUACGAAACUCAAGAUACGAACAAAACAAGAUCAAAUUCAAAUCUGAACUAAACUCAAAUUUUAAAUUGUCAAAAACAUGUUCAAGUUGAUUUACUAGAUAGAUGGGAUCACUCUGAAGAUUUAGGCGUUGGUUUCGUCGAAUUUGAACAAACGAGCAAAAAGUUACGAGGGUUUAAAGAUUAGGGGCUAAUCUGCAAAAAAUAUUCGUGCAUAGGUACCUGGCCGAAAACUAAAAGAAAAAGAAAAAUCUACCGGACGAACGUUCGCCACAGAACCUAAUCUAAUGAAUCUGUUCGUUUCAGAAACUAAAUGAACGAAUGUUCGCUAAAUAAACUAAUAAAAUGAAAUAAACUGAUCUAAAAAGAAAAACCGAAAAAAAUUGAUUGGACCGGUGAUUUAUACCGGUUCGACUGGUUCGAUGGCGGUGGCGGCAAAGUCGACGGCGGCUGGGGCGGCUUGUGCGAGGCAACAACGGCGGCUUGCGGGCGAGGCGAUGGCGGCAGCUUCCAUAGUCGGCGACAGCGAUGACUACGGCAGCGGCGGCGGCGGUGGCGACGGCGGCUUGCGGCGGCGCGGCUAGGCGACGGCAGUGGUGGCAUCAGCUUGGGGUGAGGAGGAGAUGGGCCGGGACGGGCUAUUUAAAGAGGGGGAGGGGAGGCGAGGCCAGCUUGCGGGAGGGGGCAGAGAGGCGGCGGCGCGGUUGGAGUCCGGGUCGGACACGGCCGCCGCCGGCGGCGCUGCUCGGGACUUCGUCCCGGGCGUGAGCGGGAGUGGCGGCUGGCGACUGGGCCGGCUGGGCUGGGUGCGGCCCAGUUCGGUCGGCCCGAACUCUUUUUUUUAAAACAAUUUUUCACAGAGACAAAACUAGCUAAAAUAAAUAUAAAUAAAAUCCUAAAAAUUCUAAAAAAAAAACUCAUGUGGCUAUUUGGCCUUAUUAGUGACCUAAUGAACAUUUUUCUGGGCCUAAAUGCCUAAACUAAAAACAAACAUUAUAGUACUAAUUACUCCGCUAACUAAUAAAUAAACUAGCAAAUAAAAUCAAAUAAACUCUCCAAAAAUUCAAAAUUCGUUUUCCAAUAUUUCUUUGCUGAUUUUGAAGAAGUCAUAUUAUCUUCUCUCUUUAUUUUACAACAAUUGGAAAAGAAUUUUGGAAAACAAUUUGAUCCAAUACCAAAUUUUGAUCAAAAUUGGAUUUUUGUGAAACCUCCAACUCUCUCAAAUUGGUCCUUGAGUUGCAUCAGGCCUCUUGGAUCAAAAUGCAACUAAAACAGAGCAACAAAAUGCAUAAAUCACGGAUGCAUAUGAAUGAUCUAUGAAUAACAUCCAAAUUGAAAAUUGGGAUGUUACAAACCUACCCCCCUUAAGAUGAAUCUCAUCCUCGAGAUUCGGGUUGGCCAAAAAAAAGGUGUGGGUGGUCCUUGCGGAGGUCUUCUUUACGCUCCCAUGUAGCUUCCUCCUCGGUAUGGUGGCUCCACUGAACUUUGCAAAACUUGAUGACUCCGCUGCGAGUAACUCAGCUAGAAAACUUGAGAAUCUUAACGAGUUUCUCUUCAUAGGUCAGAUCACUAUCCAACUGAAUCGCUUCCAGUGGCACUGUAUCUCUCAGAGGAAUGUCAGCCAUCUCUACAUGGCACUUCUUCAACUGGGAAACGUGAAACACAUCAUGAACUCCUGACAAACCUUCGGGUAAUUCCAACUUGUAGGAAACUUCUCCCAUACGUUCCAAAACUCUGCAUGGUCCCCCAAAUCGUGGUGCUAGCUUUCCCUUGACUCCAAAUCGUUCAACUCCUCGAAGUGGGGACACACAAAGAUAAGCUCUAUCUCCGACUUCAUAGGCUACCUCCUUGCGUUUCGUAUCUACAUAACUCUUCUGCCUGGACUGGGCUAUCUUGAGUCUAUCACGAAUCAACUUAACCUUCUCCUUAGAAUCUCUGAUUAAAUCUGGUCCGAACAACUGUCAAUCUCCAACUUCAUCCCACGACAAUGGUGUCCUGCACCUCCUUCCGUACAAAGCUUCGAAAGGGGCCAUCUUCAGACUGGCUUGAUAACUGGUGUUAUAGGAGAACUCUGCAUAGGGUAAAUUACCAUCCCAAUUAGAUCCAUAAUCUAGCGCACAAGCUCUCAACAUGUCCUCCAAAAUCUGAUUGGCUCUCUAGGUUUGUCCAUCUGUCUGCGGAUGAAAGGUUGUACUGAACUCUAGCCUGGUACCCAAAGUUUCGUGCAACUGAUUCCAAAACUUUGAAGAAAACUGUGUUCGUCUAUCUGAUAUGAUGGUCCUCAGAACUCCGUGCAGACAUACGAUCCUGGUCAUGUAUAUCUUCACCAACUUAGCACUCGUAUAAGUUGUUUUCACGGGGAUGAAAUGGGCUACCUUGGUUAAGCGAUCGACUACAACCUAGAUAGAGUCAUAGCCUGAACGGGUUCUAGGUAAUCCGGUGAUGAAAUCCAUGCCAAGUUUAUCCCACUUCCAUUCGGGUAUCGACAAAGGCUGAAGUAACCCUGCUGGUUUCUGAUGCUCUGCCUUAACUCUCCUUCAAGUCCAAAUACAUCUUGGUGUUGCCUGGGUGAAUCGAAUAAGGCGAAUCAUGGGCCUCCUUAAGAAUUAACUUCCUGAUCUCAGGGUCAUUAGGCACAUAGAUACAAUCCUCAAACCAUAAAGUUUCGUGCUUAUCCUCACGAAAACCUUUCGCCUUUCCUUUACUCAUCGUUUCCUUUAUCUCUGCAAUCUCCUUGUCCGUCUUCUGGGCUUCUCGGGCCUUUCGCAGCAAAGUUGACUGAAUUUCCAAUGCAGCAACAUAACCUCUCGGAACUAUCUCCAAGCAAAGUUCUCGAAUAUCAUCGGCUAACUCCCAAGGUAAUCCUCCGGUUAUGAGCGUGUUAACAUAACUCUUGCGGCUCAAAGCAUCUGCUACGACAUUGGCCUUUCCUGGAUGAAAAUGCAAUCUCAUGUCAUAAUCCUAUAUGAGCUCCAACCAUCUCCUCUGCCUAAGGUUCAACUCCUUCUGUGUGAAUAUGUACUUCAAACUCUUAUGAUCCGUGUAAACAUCAUAACGGUUACCAAUGAGAAAGUGUCUCCAUUUCUUGAGGGCAUGCACUACGGCUGCUAACUUCAAAUCAUGCGUAGCAUAAUUCAACCCAUGAGGUCGAAGCUGUCGUGAGGCAUAUGAAACAACUCUUCUGUCCUGCAUAAGAACGCCUCCAAGUCCUUGAAGAGAAGCGUCGCAAUAUCUUGGAAAUCCUUGCGUAUGUCUAGGAGAAUCAGCACUGGGGGUGUAACCAAACAUUUCUUCAACUCCUAGAAACUGGCCUCACAAUCCUCAGUCCAUUUAAACUUGGUGUCUUUCUUCAGUAACUCUGCCAUGGGCUUCGCAAUCUUGGAAAAAUUCUCAAUAAAUCUUCGAUAAUAACCUGCAAGUCCAAGAAAACUUCUAAUCUCUCCAACUGUGGUGGGUGCCAACCACUCAGUGACAGAUGCAACCUUGGUAGGGUCUACUGCUAUCCUUUCUCCUAAUAUAACAUGUCUGAGAAAUCCAACUUCCUUCAACCAAAACUCACAUUUGCUGAACUUGGAAUACAACUGAUGUUCCCUGAGCUUCUCAAGAACCAAGCGCAAAUGUUCCUUGUGUUCUUCUUCAUGCUUCGAGUAGACCAAUAUAUCGUCAAUGAACACCACAAUGAACUUGUCCAAGAACUCCAUGAACACUUUGUUCACCAUACUCAUAAAAUAGGCAGGGGCAUUAAUCAAACCAAAUUACAUAAUCGUAUACUCAUAUAGCCCAUACCUUGUGGUAAAAGUUGUCUUAGGUAUAUCCUGCUCUCGGAUCUUCAGCUGGUGAUAACCUGAUCGAAGAUCAAUUUUAGAGAAAACUUUAGCUCCCUGCAGCUGGUCAAACAAAUAAUUGAUCAUUGAUAGAGGGUAUUUGUUCUUGAUCAUCUCCUCAUUCAGCGCAUGAUAAUCAACAACCAUCCUCAAAGAUCCAUCCUUCUUCUUGACUAGAAGCACUAGGGCUCCCCAAGGUGAUGAGCUUGGUCGAAUAUAACCUUUCUCCAAUAACUCCUUAAUCUGCUUCUUAAUUUCCACUAGACGAUUUGCGGGCAUCCAAUACGGUCUCUUUGAUAUUGGUCCGGUGCCUGGCAAUAACUCGAUCAGAAACUCUAUGUCUCGGUCUGGUGGCAUGCCUGGUAACUCCUCUGGAAAUACGUCGGGAAAAUCCUUCACCACUGGUACUUCCUCCUGAACAACUCCAGAAAGGGAAUUCACUUGAGUUCUCCUUGACGCAUGCCUAGACACAUACUUGAUCCUUUUUCCUUCUGGGGUGGUGAGAAGAAUCGAUUUACUGGCACAAUCAAUGUUUCCCUCAAACUUGGAUAAUCAAUCCAUACCUAGGAUCACAUCCCAUCCUUGUGACUCCAGGAUAAUAAGGUCGGUGGGGAAAACAUGUCUACCUAUGGUUAUUGGCAACUGAUAACAUCCCCGACUAGCCAUAUACUCUGCUCCUAGGGAACUCACUAACAUAGGUGACUUAAGGGCUACAGUUGGCAAUUUAAACUUGUCCACAAAACCCCUUGAUAUGAAUGAAAGAGAUGCACCAGUGUAAAAAAGAACAAGGGCUGUAAAUGCAUUAAACAAAAACUUACCGACACCUGCGUCGAGCUGCUCCUCAAUCUCCUCCACAUUGACAUGGUUCACCUGACCUCUGGUGAAAGGGUUGGGCUUCUUUCUAGAACUUCCAUUGCCAUUUCCAUACUUUGCUUCAGAACAUUCAGUGGCGUAGUGUCCGAUCUUCCCGCACUUGAAACAAGUAAUGUGACUCAGAUCCUUCUUGGCGGGUGUCGCGGGGUUGGAACGGCCCUGACUAUUGCUUCCUCCAUUCCCAUUACCAUUCUUAGGGCCACUAUGGUUGUGUGAACUUCCUCCGUUGUGCGAAUGUCCUCCAUGGUUAGGUCCUCCAUGGUUAUGAUGAGUGUGUCCUCCCGAGUACAGGGAAUAGCGAGGCUUCUGCUGAGCUCCAGAAUUGUACUUCCCCUGUCCAUACUUCCUCUUGCGGUUGUCUAUCUACUGCUGCUUGCCUUCUAUCAUGAGGGCCUUGUCUACCAGCUCCUGGUAGUUGUUGAAGGUUGCCACCAUCAAUUGCAUACUCAUCUCAUCAUUGAGUCCCUCAAGAAAUUUCUCCUACUUCGCGGCAUCUGUGGCCACAUCAUCUGGGGCAUAUCGUGCUAACUUGCUGAACUCAUCCACAUACUGUCCCAAUGUACAACUCCCCUGGCGUAAGUUGCGGAACUCACGCUUCUUCAAACUCAUGGCUCCAGCUGAAACAUGUGCGGUGCGAAAGGCCUGCUGAAACUGAUCCCAUGUAACAGUAGCAAUGGGGUAAGUGGUGGUGAAAUUCUCCCACCAAGAGGCUACGGGUCCAUCAAGCUGAUGUACGGCAAACCGCACUCUCUCCGCACAUGUGCAUCCAGCAAUGGUCAGCUCCCUCGCAAUCUUGCGGAGCCAAUCAUCUGCAACAAUCAGCUCGGUGCUGCUAGAAAACACUGGUGGAUUCAACCUCAGAAAAUGGGCUAGGUUGUCAACAGGGGGUGGUGGCGGUGGGUUGUUGUUGUUGUUGCCUUGGUUCUGGAUCAUCAUCUACAUCAAGGCAUUCUGCUGUUGGAUCAACUGGGUGAUCUCCGGCGGGAAAGUGAAUCCGGGGUCACGUCUCGGAGGCAUCUGAUGGGUUAGAGGGGGUGAGAAAACAGAAUAGAGUAAGGUCUAUGAGAGAUUGCACUACCCAUAUACAUAUGCGGCAAAUACAUUCAAUUCACACCACUCAAUAUCAAACAAGAUUCACACAAAUGAUCUAAACUAGUAUUACAAAUCGGUCAAUUCUAACUACUUGGAAGAAUACUACUUAGUAACAUGGUGGUCGUCUAGAAGUUUUGAUCGGUGGAAGACUCCAUAAUAUCAGCUCCAGCUUCGUCUUCAUAAUCAUCAUCACUGUCAUCAUCUGCAUUACUGUCUGUGUUGGUGUCAUCCAAUAUGAUGUAGUCCUCCGAACGAAUAUCCACUUCAGGUUCUUGCUUUGGUUUGAUACGUCCAUUUUGCAUCAUGCUUUUAUAUCGAUAUUUAUUGCAUUAUGGGCUGUUAUUACACAUUAUGUCACAAUACUUCUGCCAAUUCUCCCUUAUUUUACAAGGUUUACAUGAAGAGGGAGAAUGCCGACAGCUGGGAUUCUAGGCUGGAAAAGGAGAAAAUAUUAGAGACCUAUUUUGCACAACUCCAAAAGUCCUGAAACUCCACGAAAUUUAUUUUUGGAAUUAAUAAAAAAUACUGGGCGAAGAGAGUACCAAAGGGGGCCCACACCCUGUCCACAAGGGUGGGGGCGCUCCCUACCCCCUCGGCGCGCCCACUGCCUCGUGGGCCCCCUAUUAGGCCUUUGGUGACCAUCUUCUACUAUAUGAAGUCUUUUACCCUGGAAAAAAUCAUAAGCAAGCUUUCGGGAAGAAACACUGCCGCCACGAGGCAGAACCUUGGCGGAACCAAUCUAGGGCUCCGACGGAGCUGUUCUGCCGGGGAAACAUCCCUCCGAGAGGGGGAAAUCAUCACCAUCAUCAUCACCUUCAAUCCUUUCAUAAGGAGGGGGUCAAUCUCCAUCAACAUCUUCACCAGCACCAUCUCCUCUCAAACCCUAGUUCAUCUCUUGUAUCCAAUCUUUGUCCCAAAACCUUAGAUUGGUACCUGUGGGUCACUAGUAGUGUUGAUUACUCCUUGUAGUUGAUGCUAGUUGGUUUAUUCGGUGGAAGAUCAUAUGUUCAGAUCCUAUAUGCAUAUUAAUACCCCUCUAAUUAUGAACAUGAAUAUGAUUUGUGAGUAGCUACGUUUGUUCCUGAGGACAUGGGAGAAGUCUUGCUAUAAGUAGUCAUGUGAAUUUGGUAUUCGUUCGAUAUUUUGAUGAGCUGUAUGUUGUCUCUCGUCUAGUGGUGCUAUGUGAACAUCGACUACAUGACACUUCACCAUGUUUGGUCCUAGAGGAAGGCAUUGGGAAGUAAUAAGUAGAUGAUGGGUUGCUAGAGUGACAGAAGCUUAAACCCUAGUUUAUGCGUUGCUUCGUAAGGGGUUGAUUUGGAUCCAUAUGUUUCAUGCUAUGGUUAGGUUUACCUUAAUACUUCUUUUGUAGUUGCGGAUGCUUGCAAUAGGGGUUAAUAAUAAGUGGGAUGCUUGUCCAAGAAAGGGCAGUACCCAAGCACCGGUCCACCCACAUAUCAAAUUAUCAAAGUAACGAACGCGAAUCACAUGAGCGUGAUGAAAUCUAGCUUGACGAUAAUUCCCAUGUGUCCUCGGGAGCGCUUUACUCCAUAUAAGAACUUGUCCAGACUUGUCCUCUGCUACAAAAAGGAUUGGGCCACCUUGCUGCACUUUAUUUACUUUUGUUACUUGUUACCCGUUACAAAUUACCUUACCACAAAACUAUCUGUUAUCGAUAAUUUCAGUGCUUGCAGAGAAUACCUUACUGAAAACCGCUUGUCAUUUCCUUCUGCUCCUCGUUGGGUUCGACACUCUUACUUACCGAAAGUACUACGAUAGAUCCCCUACACUUGUGGGUCAUCAUUUCACCAUGGGUAUUCCUAGCUUCUCCUUCAGAUCUUCAUGCUUCUCUAGUAGCACAACAAUUUCUUCUUCAUAUCCAUCGCGUGUUGACUUGAGUUCCUCUUCUAGCUCGAUAUUCGUCUUCAUCACCUUCUUGGUCUUCUUCAUGAUAGUGCACAUCUAGUUCUCAUAUAGACGAAUGUGCUGAUCCAUCUCAUGAAUGUACGCUACAAUUGAUCCAUCCUUCCUGGUACGAAUCAUCUCCCAUUGCUCGUCUCGGCGUCCACAUAUCUGAUAGACGGUGUCUUCAAGCUCCUUGUGGUACACCUCACAAAUGCGUCCAAAAGUGAUGUGGGCUGCCAUGCUCUUUCCCAAGCUCCAAGUUGGUGCAUCCAAGGUGACCUCAAUGGGCUCCGUUGUUGGUGCAAACGUCCUCCCAGGUACAUGAACUUUGAUCCUCCAGCGCUCUUCUUCUGGUAAAGUUGCAGUGAAGAUUCCAGUGAAGCUUGGUAGUUCAAUGUUAAGGUACUUCGUGACUUCCUUCAAGUGUCGUCCGAAAGGGGUGUCAUCAUCUGGCUGAGUGAACUUGUUCCUGGGGUCCGUCAUCUAUAGAGUAGAAAUGGAGGAGGAUUAGAAAUGAGUAGAGAAGAGUAUCUUGUGGCUUUACCUAGUGGUCACGUCCUACAGUCAGCGUGUGCUCUGAUACCAUCUUGUAGUGACCACGAUCCCAACAUAUCAAAGUCUCUAUGCUUAAGUGUCAUCCCUGGAUCGGUAUGCUGACACACAUAGUACUCGAGGAAUUAUAACAAAGUUCAAUCACACACAUAUUACAUCAAGGUCCUCAUAAAGAGUAUUUACAUGAGUCCAGCAACUCCAACGGCAUAGCUGAGUGCAUGACAACGACCUAUCGCACCUUAUUCUUCGUCGGUAAAGUAUGCAACAUGAGACGUUGCAGCCGUGUAGGUCAGCACAUGGAAUAUGCUGGCAGAGAUACACUUUAGAGCAAUUGAAUGCCAGAAACUAUAUCUACAUGCAUAUUUGGCUCGUGGAGGCUCUAAGUUUAAUGUUUUGCAUAAAGCUAAUUUUUUUUCCUACAACAAAGGAAUAAAUUUUAUUUACUACAAAGUUUAUACCAAUGAUUGAGAAGGUUCCUCCAACUCAAAUCCAAAAAUUAACCAAGUAUCAUCAUUAAACCCAAUUCAUUAAUUAAAGAGUGAUGAGAUCAACAUAAUAUCCACUUCUAGAUACUCAAAUUGUCCAUAACCAGUGAAAGCACAUUUGCUCCCUGGGUGGUUUUGGUAAUUAAUGACAACAUACUUUGUGGUUGGACUAAUGCUUUUAUCAAGUAUGUUUCAGGAAGUUCAAUCACUCUGGCAUGGCAAAAGGACUGGAAAGGUGGACACCUAAGAUGCUAAGACAAGCAUUGGCAAAAGCUCAAGACUCUUUUUUUUGGUUUAGUGAUCCAAGAUCACAUUGAGUCUAUAGGAAAGCCAAUACUAUUAAAAGGGGAUGAGGUUAUGAUAAUGAUCUGGUUGCUCAAAGUGCUUAGUGAUCUAUCUCCCAAACCAUCAGCAAUCUUUCAUUCCAACAUACACUCAUAAGUAAUCUCGGUCCCACCGAUUCCAUAAACUCAGUCACACCGAGAUGAACCACCUCAGCCACAAAGCCAAACCCUAGUAAUUUCGGUUUUUCCGAUUCCAAACUCAGUCUCACCGAAACUAGUGUUGCCAACCUUCUGUAACCUUCUGUCAUCAAAUCGGUGUCACCGAGAUGAUAAAGUCGGUCCCACCGAGAUUGGAAAACCCUAGUCUUUGGAAGAAUCGGACUCACCGAGAUUGUAUUUUCGGUCCCACCGAAAAUCCCAACGUUCACAAGAUUUGAACUUUCGGUCUCACCGAGUUGUCAACUUCGGUCUGACCGAGAUUGGUCAAAUGUGUGUAACGGUUGGAUUUUGUGUGGAGGCUAUAAAUACCCCUCCACCUCCUCUUCAUUCGUGGAGAGAGCCAUCAGAAAGAACUACCACUCCUACCUUACAUUUCUGAGAAGAAAACUACCUACCCUUGUGUUGAGAUCAAGUUGCUCCACUCCCACCAUAUGAAACUUGAUUUCUAGCCUUCCCAAGUUGCUUUCCACUCAAUCCUUUCUUCCACCACAGCCAAAUCAGUGAGGAGAGUUGAGUGUUGGGGAGAUUAUCAUUUGAAGCACAAGAGCAAGGAGUUCAUCAUCACCAACACCAUCUAUUACCUUUUGGAGGGUGGUGCCUCCUAGAUUGGUUAGGUGUCGCUUGGGAGCCUCCGUCAAGAUGUGGAGUUGAACCAAGAAGUUUGUAAGGGCAAGGAGAUCGCCUACUUCGUGAAGAUCUACCCCGAGUAAGGCUAGUCCUCCGUGGGCGUAUGCCAUGAUGGCAUAGACAAGGUUGCUUCUUCGUGGACCCUUCGUGGGUGGAGCCCUCCGUGGACUCUCGCAGCCGUUACCCUCCGUGGGUUGAAGUCUCCAUCAACGUGGAUUGACGAUAGCACCACCUAUCGGAACCACGAGAAAAAUCUCCGUGUCUCCAAAUUGCGUUUGAUCUUCUCCACCUCUCUUUACUUCAUGUGCAAUUUACUUUCCGCUGCCCAUACUCUAGAAUUGCAUGUGUAGUAUGCUACUUGACUUGUGCAAUAUGCUAAAUCUGCCAAGAACUUGUCUUUGUAAAAGGCAUAAUUUUUAUCUUGUCGAGUAGUCUAAUCACCCCCCCUCUAGACACUCUUACCUUCAACGAUCCUACAAUUGGUAUCAGAGCAUUGAUUUCCAUUGCUUUGGUUUGCACACCAUUGGAGGAAGAUGGACGUGUCUACGUUUGGGAGUGUUAGCCAUAGAGUGCCUACUCUUGAUGGAGUGUCCUAUAGCUCGUGGAGGAUUGAAAUGCUUGCUAUCUUUAAGAUGUACAACUUGCGCAAAUAUGUUGAAACCCCAUAUGUACCUCCAUUUGACCCCUUGCACCCUACUAUGGAUGAAGAGCUUGAUUUGCUUCGUAACCUUAGAACUGUAAAUCUUAUCAUUAGAGGUUUACCCGAUAACUUACUUGAGCUUGUCACAAACUUUGAGUGCGCCUAUGCCAUAUGGAAGUUCUUGGAAGAACUUUGUCCUGACUACUCUUUGAGAGGUCUUGAUGAAUUUCUAUACAAGACUAUUGAAUUUGAUAUGAUGCGCCCCAAUGAUCCCAACUUUGAUAAAUGCUUCUUUGAGCUUCGUGAUCUUAUGAAAAAGAAGGGUGAUCCCGGACUUAUCAAUGUUCUAAUUAGAAAUGCUCUUGUAUUGCAUUCCGAUGAUUAUUGUCACUUUGACAAAACUAAUGCAAGUCAUUGUCAAAUUGACCUAGGUGUUGAUGAUGAACUAUCUAUGGGUCAAUAUGAUGAUGAGCAUGAGCAUGAUGACAAUUACUCCGAUUCGGACACCGAGCUAGACAAGAUCAUGAAGAGUCUCAAUCUUAUGGCAAAUCUGAGAGACUACAUAUCCGGUGGAAAAGAGUGGAUUCUUGAUAGUGGAUGCACCGAUCACAUGACCGGAGACGAAGACAUGUUUCGAGAGCUUGCAAAGAACGAUGGUCCACGCAAGUAUGUGACUUUUGGAGACAACUCCAAGGGUAAGGUACUUGGCCUUGGUAAGGUGGCCAUAUCUCAUGAUAGCUCCAUUCAAAAUGUCAUGCUUGUUGAAUCACUUGGAUACAAUCUACUUUCCGUGUCUAGAUUAGCUGACUUUGGAUUCAAUGUGCUAUUCACCGAAAUAGAUUUCCAAGUUUUUCGUCGUGACAAUCAUAACAUGGUAUUUACCGGUAUCCGUAGAGGUGAUCUAUAUAUCGUUGAUUUCACUAAGAAAGCUCAACCUAGAACUUGCUUCAUUGCUAAAUCCGCUAAAGGUUGGCUUUGGCAUAGAAGGCUUGGACAUGUUGGUAUGCGUAAUCUAGAUAAGCUAAUUAAAGGUGAUCAUAUUCUUGGUGUUAAAGAUGUUUUCUUUGACAAAGAUAGACUCUGUAGUGCUUGUCAAGCAGGAAAACAAGUAGGUGGAAGUCAUCCCGUGAAGAACAUCAUGACCACAAGGAGACCGCUUGAGCUUCUUCAUAUGGAUCUCUUCGGUCCCAAUGCUUACAAAAGCCUUGGUGGUAACUCCUUUGGUCUAGUAAUAGUUGAUGAUUAUUCCAGAUUUACGUGGGUAUUUUUCCUUGAUGAAAAAUUGCAGGUUCAGAGAAUCUUCAAAACCUUUGCCAGAAAGGCCCAAAAUCAAUUCGAGGUGAAGAUCAAGAAAGUUCGGAGUGACAAUGGAACGGAGUUCAAGAAUGCCCAUGUGGACUCUUUUCUCGAUGAGGAAGGAAUUCUACAUGAGUUCUCGGCAACGUACACACCUCAACAAAAUGGAGUUGUUGAGAGGAAGAACCGAACGCUCAUAGAGAUGGCGAGAACGAUGCUUGACGAAUACAAGACACCGAAACACUUUUGGGGAGAAGCCGUCGAGACAGCUUGUCAUGCUAUCAACAGGCUUUAUCUUCAUAAGCUCCUCGGCAAGACUUCAUACGAGCUCCUCACCGGUAACAAACCCCAAGUGGGAUACUUUCGUGUCUUUGGUUCAAAAUGCUAUAUCCUUGAUAAGCAUCGUCGGUCUAAGUUUGCUCCUAAAACUCAUGAAGGCUUUUUCCUCGGUUAUGGAUCAAACUCCCACACCUACCGUGUCUACAAUAAUUUCACCCGAAAGGUUGAAGAGACGGUAGAUGUGAAGUUUGAUGAAUCUAAUGGCUCGCAAGUAGAGCAAAUGCCUAUUGAUGUAGGAGACAAGGACCCAUCGGAAGCCAUUCAAGAUCUAUCCAUUGGAAAGAUUCGUCCCAUGGAAGUGAAGGAGAGUACCUCAUCUACAUAUGUGGAGCCCCCUACCUCACGGAGAGAUGAACCUCAAGGCAACAUGGAGGCUUCCACAAGUGGAACUCACCAAGAUGAGGAAGUGCAACAAGAAGAUCCACCACAACCUCCUUCCCCACCACCUCAAGACAACACCAACAACAAUGAAGAAGAAGAGGAAGAUGAGGAUGAUGAGGAAACUCAGCCGCGACCACAACAAAAGCUAUCUCGAGUUCGAGCAAGAAUCAAGAAGAAUCAUCCCGUGGAACAAAUGAUGAAUGACAUCGACUCCGGGAGAAUUACUCGCUCUAAAACUCGUUUAGCUAACUUUUGUGAGCAUUACUCAUUCAUUUCUAGUCUUGAACCUAUGAAGGUAGAAGAAGCGCUUGAAGACCCGGAUUGGGUGAACGCUAUGCAUGAAGAGCUACACAACUUCGAGAGGAACAACGUCUGGACUUUGGUAGAGAAGCCCAAUGAUGAUCAAGACGUCAUUGGAACCAAAUGGGUGUUUCGGAACAAGCAAGAUGAGGAUGGACAAGUCAUCCGCAACAAGGCUCGUCUCGUAGCUCAAGGUUACACACAAGUCGAAGGUAUGGACUAUGGUGAGACCUAUGCCCCCGUUGCUAGACUUGAGUCCAUUCGCAUUCUUCUUGCUUAUGCCAACCACCAUGAUAUUACUCUCUAUCAAAUGGACAUUAAAAGUGCUUUCCUAAAUGGUGAAAUUGAGGAGGAAGUAUUUGUGAAACAACCUCCCGGAUUUGUGAAUCCUAAAAAGCCUAAUCAUGUUUACAAGUUGCACAAAGCUCUUUAUGGUCUUAAACAAGCCCCUAGAGCUUGGUACAAAUGCUUAACUAGCUUUCUUCUUGAGAAAGGAUUUGAGAUUGGUAAAAUAGACUCAACGCUUUUCACGAAAAGGGUUGAUAGUGAACUGUUUGUGUGCCAAAUAUAUGUUGAUGAUAUUAUCUUUGGUUCAACUUACCCUCAUUUUAGCGAGAAGUUUGGAAAGCUCAUGUCCGAGAAGUAUGAGAUGUCCAUGAUGAGUGAACUCAAAUUCUUCCUUGGGUUGCAAAUCAAGCAAUCUAAGGAGGGUACCUUUGUCUCACAAACAAAGUACACCAAGGAUCUCUUCAAGAAGUUCAACAUGCAAGAAAGCAAAGGUAUGAGAACCCCCAUGCCUACUAGUGGACAUAAUGACUUGACAAAAGAUGGAGAACCUGUUGAUCAAAAGGUUUAUCGAUCCAUGAUUGGUUCUCUACUAUAUCUCUGUGCUUCUCGUCCUGACAUAAUGUUGAGUGUUUGCAUGUGUGCUCGAUAUCAAGCAGCCCCUAAAGAAUGUCAUCUUAAAGCCGUUAAAAGAAUUGUGAGAUAUUUGAUACACACACCUAACUUUGGCAUUUGGUAUCCUAAGAGGGCCUCUUUCGAUCUUGUUGGCUAUUCCGACUCGGACUAUGCCGGAGACAGGGUUGAUAGAAAGUCAACUUCGGGUACGUGUCAAUUUCUUGGUCGAUCCCUUGUGUCUUGGUCCUCCAAGAAACAAAAUUCAGUAUCACUAUCUACUGCUGAAGCAGAAUAUAUUGCUGCUGGUUCAUGUUGUGCUCAGUUGCUAUGGAUGACACAAACGCUUAAGGAUUAUGGGAUACAUGCGAGACAUGCUCCUUUGCUUUGUGACAAUGAGAGUGCGAUUAAGAUUGGACACAAUCCUGUGCAACACUCUCGCACGAAACACAUUGAAGUUCGUCACCAUUUUAUUCGUGAUCACAUUGCCAAGGGUGACAUCGAUCUUAAGCAUGUUCGUACUGACAAACAGCUUGCAGAUAUCUUUACAAAACCACUUGAUGAGAAAGUGUUUUGUCGCUUAAGGAGUGAGUUGAACAUCAUUGAUGCUUCAAACUUGGAGUGAAAACUCCAUUGAUGCAUGCAAGGCAUGAGCUUACAUGACUAAUCCUUGAUAUUUCUCUUAUGAUGAUGAUCAUAUGUCUUGGACACAUUUGCCCCCUUGUAUUGCAUCUAACUCCUUGCAGGUACUUGGAUGGUCUACAUUCCACAAGAUUACCACACACUCAAAUCUUGAGUAAUCUUGUCAUUGACCAAGUAUCUAGCCCUUUGGGAUGUUGAGUACAAGGAACAAAAUUCCACAUAUCCUUUUUGACACUGUGUACAUCUAGUAUUUCACUCUUGUCAUCUUGGAUACUCUUGAGUAUUUCCUUGCUUGCCUAACCCAUGUAGGAAGAUGAACUACACAAGUUGAAAUGGUGCUCCAACUUCACAUUCAAUGAGCACCUACAUCAAGUUCACCUACAUGAACAAAGCAACAACAAGCCCAAGGUAUGUUCUUCACAUCUUGAAGGAGCUUUGCUCAAAGUCAUGAGUACAAGCAGCUUCAUAAGAUGUGAUCACAUCAAAUGCUUAAUUGAAAAAUGGCAACCCCAUUUUGAGCUUAAACGAUGAGUAUGACCUAUGAUCAAAUGUUCUCAUUUGACUCCUAAGUCAAUAUACUCAAACAUAGGUGACUUUGUCGCCGACCCUUAUCUAGAUGAAGUACAAAUGUUUUGGAGUUUUUCUAUUUUCUCUUAUGUUCUCUCAUUGAGUUUUCUUUUUUAUCAAAAAAAAACUUCAUCUAGCAAUCUUUUUCAUUUCUAUUCUUCUGUCUUUGUGAAUAUCUUUUUGGCUCUGAUCAAUUCCUUGAAAAUCAUUUACAAAUUCAUUACAAAUCUUUUGGAACAUUCCUUGCAAAGUGAGCUGAAUUAUUUCUGUAUUUCCUUGGAAUUAAACUCGGCGUCACCGACCCAAAACUUUCGGUCUGACCGAAAAAGGAUCUGCCCUAAGUCCCAGACUUUCGGACCCACCGAUCCAUCUAAUUCGGUGUCACCGAUUUUUCCUUUAGGAUAGCAUCUUCUGCAGCUCAACUCAAUGAUUCUUUAUGCAUGUUUCUUAUAGCACAGUUGUGAUUCUUAAGGAUCCCACUUCUUUCCUUCCAUCUUUCCUGACCUUCCUAGUUUACUGUCCUUUUCGGCACUUGAUGUCAAAGGGGGAGAAGAUUUAGGGGGAGCUUAGGGGAGAUUGGGAGAUAAGGGGAGAAGAGAAGAUUUAGGAGGAGAAGAAGAGCAAUCUUACCUUAAGGGGGAGAGAAUCACAUCAAAGCUUUGCCGUGUUCCACAUUGGAUAUUACAUUUGGCAUCAUUCUUUUGAUUUUGCUUUCCUCGCUCUCACAAUUGAGAUCUUAUGAAAAGCAAAAUCUCUCAGAGCUCAUUGAAAAAUCUUUCAGUCUUGGGAGACAUGUUUGCUGAUUCAAGCUUGUGCUCAAUAUGAGACACUCUUUACACAUGUCAUCCCUGGCUUGGUACUCUUGAUGUUCUUGCAGUUGGAUGAAGAAAUACUCUUGUGUUAUCUAACCUUGUUUUCCCAAGUUUAUUUCUUCAGGUACAAUGCCAAGGAACUUCAAGGUAAGUAUAUGCAUCUUGCAUAAUGUACAUGAUGGUGACUUGCUUGUGAAUAUCUGUUGCAAGAAAUCACCAUGUACAUAUGCAUUAUCACUCACUUCUUUUCAGCUGCUCUGAUGCAUAUAGCCAAGCUGCAUGUAGCACAUCUUGCUGUUCUCUCUUGUGUGCUUGUGGUAGUCCAAAACCAUAAUCAAUGAAAAUCUUGCACACUUGUAGGGGGAGUCUGUAUACUACAUGUUUGUCAAAGCUUUAAUGAUAAUUCUGUCUUUCUUUCAGUAAGCUUUGAUGUCUUGUUUUGUGUGUUGCCAUCAAUUACCAAAAAGGGGGAGAUUGAAAGCACAUUUGCUCCCUGGGUGGUUUUGGUAAUUAAUGACAACAUACUUUGUGGUUGGACUAAUGCUUUUAUCAAGUAUGUUUCAGGAAGUUCAGUCACUCUGGCAUGGCAAAAGGACUGGAAAGGUGGACCCCUAAGAUGCUAAGACAAGCAUUGGCAAAAGCUCAAGACUCUUUUUUUUUGGUUUAGUGAUCCAAGAUCACAUUGAGUCUAUAGGAAAGCCAAUACUAUUAAAAGGGGAUGAGGUUAUUGUAACGACCAAAUCUCGAAGGAUUUGAGUCUCUGUGCUUACCGUGCUAGUCCCUGGAUCGAACUCGCUAGCACACACAGUAUAGAUGAAUACCAGAAUAGCAAGUGCAUCAUUUAUUACAACGUAUGAUCCAGAAUGUAUAAAAUAAAACAAUCUGCAUAGCACUUGGCUAGCUUUAUUCAAUCAAACAGCGGAAAGUAGCAGAAAAUAACGAUGAGUCCCAUCAUAGCCCACUGGCGAUGCUGAGUGCAGACUCGCGACCCUAACGGUACCUUACUCUUCGUCUGAAUAUCCUGCAACAUGAGACGUUGCAGCCAUAUAGGUCAAUACUUUGAAUGUAUUGGCAAGUUACACAGGAGUAAUAAUAUAGCAGACCUACAUGUAUAUGCAUAGUACAACAAAGGAAGGCUUGAGGGUUUAUUUUUGCAUAAAGCUGAUUUUAUCCUAAUAACUACCUAAUAGUCAAAUUUUUAUUUAGUUCUUUUAUUACUACAAUUAAAUACACAAGGUUGAGUUGGCAAAAUCAACUCCAACCUACCCUUUAUUAAGUUGCCCACAAUUAUUAUUAAGUGUCACAUCUGUCAAGAUCAUCCAACAACUGUAAUGGCAUAGUGGCUCAAAUUUACCCAUAACCGGGGGCACGGCUAAUCAUGAUUAGUUUUAAUACUCUGCAGAGUUUUGUACGCUUUACCCACUGGACCCAAUCCGAAGAUUGAGACGAAGUCUUUCAGAAGAGGUUCCCUUAACCACCUGACGGUCACAUCCCACCUACAUAUACUACAUCUGUCGACACAGUCUGGGCAAGGGUUCCAACAACUGAUCAACUAAGCCAGAGCCCAUAUAGCCAGUGGCCGCACAUGGAAGCUACUAGUCACUAAGUCUGUCUGAUCUUUUUGAACCUGGGCGGCAUUCCACUUACAUUCAGAGGGUAAAAACCAUGAUGUUCUUGAAACCACCCUUCAACACCAAUUCCGCCCAGAGGUGAAUUAAGUCCUCAAUUACUACUCAAUUUGAUUAUAUUUAUAAUCCUCACAUAAUCUCAAUGUAUACACGAACCACCCCCGUCUACAAAGCAUAGCAAACUACAACUACCACGAUUUGCAAAAGACGGGAAGAUAGCUCAACAUCAUAUAGCAAAAUAAUAUAGUAUUCCUAUACAUGCAUAAAUUCAUAGUGUGAUAUAACUACAUGCAUAGAAAACAAUAGGUAAAGGAUGAUCAACAUGUAACUUGCCUUGGUUCUGGUUCAGAAAGUCACACUCCUGACAAUAGUUCGCGUCGCACUCCGGACAAUCUACACGUUUCACACAAUUCAACAAAUCAAUCACCGAAACACGAAUAGAACCAAAAUAUAAACCAACAGCAAGAAAAUCAUUUUCAAAAACACAACAACAGAAGCUUAACAGCACCUAAAUUGCACUACGGUCACAACGCAAAAAGAAUCACUCGAAUCCGAUAAACGGUUUAAGAGUUAUGGCCUCCGGAAGAUUUAAUUCAAAUUUAAACGAAUUCAAAUUUAAACAGUGCAAACAUGUGCAAAGUCGGUACUGUGAUAAUCUGCUGAUUUUCCUGAGUGCACAGGAAAAAGAAUUACCUAAAUUGGCUAUAUAGAAUAAAAGAUAUAGCUAGUUGAAGUUAGAGUUGAAAUCUGAAAAUAAAACAAAAGAAAACAGAAAUCCCCUGCGUUACUGUAGCAACUCCUGUGCGUGUCCUGUAGCGAAGUGCCAUGUGGCAGCACCGGAUUGGUCAGCGGCUGCUGUGCGCGUGUGCUCACCAGAAGCAGAGGAAAACGGCGGCGGCUUCGGGCGUCGGCGGCGGUGGCUCUCCGGCGAGUCUCCGGCGAAGGUGAAGCGACGGAUGGGUGCGGCGGUGAGUGGCGGAGGUGGUGGUGGUGUUCAACGGCGGCGGGGCGUCCUCUGCGGGCGGUAGCGACGAGGUGAACCACGGUGGUGCCCCGGCGAAGUUGGGCGUCGGCGGCGGCAUCGUUCUGGUGAUCUGCAGGUCACCCCGAUUGGUAAAACGAGUGCGGCGUCGAGAGGGGGUUCGAACGGUGACAAGCGGAGCGGCCGGGCGUCCUUACAGCGGUGGAUUCGGACGGUCAACAACGGCGGCCUCGGAGCUCCUCCGGCGAGAUCCAGACGGCGCAGCGGCUUCGAGCAGACGAGAAAAGAAAGGGGAGGGCGUGCGCUAGGGUUCCCGAUGGCCUUUUGCUCGAGCGGGGAGUCCCAGGGGUGCACGGGGUCGGACCAGGCAUCGGAUCGAUCCGGAUCGGCCUCGGCGUGCGCGCGGCGGCGCGUCCGGCUCGGUGAAGGGGAUGAACAGGGCGCGGGACCCGCUGUCAGCGGCUGGGGCGAGGUGGAUCGGGCGCGGGCGAGCGAUGCGGGUCAGGUGCGGGCGUACCGCUUCGCUAGGUUUAGCGGGCUGCGGGCGGUGGGGUUUGGUGGGCCGCAGCGGUGUGGUGCGGCGCUGCUGGGCCGUGCAGUGCGCUGCGGCGCUGCGCUGCGUUUUCCUUUUUUUUAAACAAAAACUACAGCAGCAAGACUAAAAAUAAAUAAAAUAAAAUACACAAUAUAAAUUCUAAAUAAAAAUACCUAGACACACAGUAAAAAUAGCUCUACAGCUAUAAACUACGGGAACACUAGUUCCAACUCUAAUGCAAUUUUGUAAAAUAUUUUUGAUGCAAUAGGCCACUCAAACAGCAAUAAAACAAACAAAUAAAAUAUUUUGAAGAUCACAAGAAUUACCAGAACAUAUCAAAUGAACUGGAAAUAAUAUUCUGCACAUUAUGAACAUUUUUAAAAUAGGGGAGAAGUCAUGUUAUCUCCACUCCAAAUAAAUUGCCUUUUGUUGCAUAAUGAUUUGAAUAUUACCGAAAAGCAAAUAAUGCAUGGAAAAUAUGAUAUGCAUAUGUAUGAUCUAAUAACAUCCUAAUUUAUGAAAAUUGGGAUGUUACAAACCUACCCCCCUUAAGAUGAAUCUCGCCCUCGAGAUUCGGGCUGGCUAGCAAAUAGGUGUGGGUGAUCCUGCUUGAGAUCUUCCUCUCGUUCCCAGGUAGCUUCCUCCUCGGUGUGAUGAUCCCACUGAACCUUGCACAACUUGAUUGUCUUGGUGCGAGUAACUCUCUCUGCUGUCUCCAGAAUCUUAACAGGUUUCUCCUCAUAUGUCAAAUCACUCUCCAACUGAAUUGCCUCAAGUGGCACUGUGUCCCUCAAUGGAACAUCCAUCAUCUCUGCAUGACACUUCUUCAACUGAGAUACAUGAAACACAUCGUGAACUCCUGACAAGGAUUCUGGCAACUCCAACUGAUAAGCUACCUCUCCUCUACGCUCCAAGAUCGUGUAAGGCCCCACAAAACGUGGUGCUAACUUACCCUUGAUUCCAAACCUCUUAAUUCCACGAAGUGGUGAAACUCUAAGAUAUGCACGGUCUCCUACCUCAUAUGUCACCUCCUUAUGUUUCGCAUCUGCAUGACUCUUCUGUCUGGACUGUGCUAUCUUCAGCCUGUCACGAAUCAACUUGACCUUCUCCUCAGCAUCUCUAAUCAAGUCUGGCCCAAAGAACUGACGCUCUCCAACCUCAUCCCACAUCAACGGUGUCCGGCACUUUCUGCCAUACAAUACCUCAAAUGGUGCCAUCUUCAGACUAGCCUGAUAACUGUUAUUAUAUGAGAACUCUGCAUAAGGUAAAUUAUCAUCCCAACUGGACCCAUAGUCCAAAGCACAAGCUCUCAACAUAUCCUCCAAAAUCUGAUUUACCCUCUCUGUCUGCCCAUCUGUCUGUGGAUGGAAAGCUGUACUGAACUCCAGCCUGGUGCCCAAGGAUUCAUGCAACUGGCGCCAAAACUUAGAUGUGAACUGAGUACCUCUAUCAGACACUACCUUCCUCGGAACUCCAUGCAGACAAACAAUUUUAUACAUAUAAAUCUUUGCUAGCUGAGCACUGGUAUAAGUAGUCUUUACCGGGAUGAAGUGAGCAACUUUAGUCAAACGAUCAACAACUACCCAAAUAGAAUCAUAACCUGAUCGAGUCCUGGGUAGACCUGUAAUGAAAUCCAUACCAAUCUCAUCCCACUUCCAAUCAGGUAUAGGCAAUGGCUGUAACAAACCUGCUGGUCGUUGAUGUUCUGCUUUAACCCUCUGGCACACAUCACAUGUUGCAAUAUAUCCAGCAAUUUCCCUCUUCAGGCUAGGCCACCAAAAUCUUUCCCUCAAAUCCAAAUACAUCUUAGUAUUACCUGGGUGAAUAGAAUAAGGUGAAUCAUGGGCCUCCUGAAGAAUCAACUUCCUGAUGUCUGCAUCCUGAGGUACACAAAUACGCUUCUCAAACCAUAUGGCCCCAUGUUCAUCCUCAUGGAAACCUUCUGCUUUACCUUUAACCAUGUUCUCUUUUAUCUCAGCAAUCUCCUUAUCACCCUUUUGAGCUUCUCUAAUCCUAUCAAGCAAAGUAGGCUUUACCUCAAGUGUUGCCAAAUAUCCCUUAGGAACCAUCUCCAACCUGAGAUUCCUGAAUUGUUCACAUAACUCGGGUGGCAUAUUAUCAAUAUUAAUUGCAUUAGCAUGCCUCCUACGACUCAAUGCAUCAGCAACAACAUUAGCCUUACCAGAAUGAUACUGCACAUUCAAAUCAUAAUCCUUGAUAAGCUCCAACCAUCUCCUCUGCCUGAGGUUCAAAUCUUUCUGAGUAAAGAUAUACUUCAAGCUCUUAUGAUCAGUAAAUAUAUCACAACGAUUACCAAUAAGGUAUGGCCUCCAAGUUUUCAAUGCAUGCACAACUGAGGCUAACUCCAAAUCAUGUGUAGGAUAAUUAUGCUCAUAAUUCUUAAGCUGACGUGAAGCAUAUGAAACAACUUUACCUUCCUGCAUCAAAACACUCCCAAGUCCUUGACGAGAAGCAUCACAAUAUACCUGGAAGUCCUUAUGUAUAUCCGGCAGUGUUAAGACUGGUGCUGUAACCAAACGCUGCUUCAAUUCCUGAAAGCUGGCUUCACAUUCAUCAGUCCAAACAAACUUCUUCUCCUUCUUCAACAAUUCAGUCAUAGGCUUUGCAAUCUUGGAAAAAUUCUCAAUAAACCUCCUGUAAUAACCUGCAAGGCCCAAAAAGCUGCGAAUCUCCCCAACUGUCGUGGGUGUCUCCCACUCUGUAACUGCAGCAACCUUAGAUGGAUCAACUGCAACUCCCUUACUUGACACAACAUGUCCAAGGAAAGCUACCUCAUCCAGCCAAAACUCACAUUUGCUGAACUUGGCAUACAACUGAUGUUCCCUCAAUUUCACCAAUACCAAACGUAGAUGCACCUCAUGCUCUUGCUUUUUCUUGGAGAACACCAAUAUAUCAUCAAUGAAAACAACCACAAAUUUAUCCAAGAACUCCAUAAACACCUUGUUCAUCAUAUUCAUGAAGUAUGCAGGAGCGUUAGUCAAUCCAAAUGACAUAACAGUAUAUUCAUACAACCCAUACCUCGUGGUGAAAGCAGUCUUGGGAAUAUCUUGCUCACGAAUCUUUAAUUGAUGAUAACCAGAACGAAGAUCUAUCUUAGAAAACACAGUAGCUCCCUCCAACUGGUCAAAUAGAUCAUUUAUCAUAGGCAAAGGAUACUUAUUCUUAAUGGUAACCUCAUUCAGAGAACGAUAAUCAACACACAUCCUCAAGGUUCCAUCCUUCUUCUCCACAAACAAAACUGGAGCUCCCCAAGGUGAUGAACUUGGGCGAAUAAAUCCUUGUGCCUGCAAUUCUCUUAUCUGCUUCUUCAAUUCCUCCAACUCUUGAGGAGGCAUUCUAUAUGGUCUCUUUGCAAUAGGUCCAGUGCCUGGUAUUAAAUCAAUAAGAAACUCAAUAUCCCUAUCUGGUGGCAUACCUGGCAACUCCUCUGGAAACACAUCUGGAUAAUCCCUCACAACUGGCACCUCUUCCAGGCUACCCCCCUUAAGAGAGUUCACCUGCACCUGAUUAUGCUUAUACUUACACACAUAUUUGAUCCUCUUCCCUCCUGGUGCACUGAGAGUAAUAGAUCGACUGGCACAAUCAAUACGACAUUUAUAUAACUGCAACCAAUCCAUACCCAAAAUAAUAUCCAGACCUUGUGACUUCAAUAUAAUCAAAUCUGUAGGAAACUCAUGCUUCCCAAUAGACAAAGUCAACUGAUGACAACCAACACCUGCUAUCAUCUCAGCUCCUGGGGAACUCACUCUAAUAGGCAUACUAAGGGUUUUGGUUGGUAAUCCAUGUUUAUCAACAAAUACCCUCGAAAUGAAUGAAUGCGAUGCACCAGUAUCAAAAAGAACAACUGCAGGUACUGAAUUAAUCAAGAACUUACCAAUCACUGCAUCAGGUUCAUUGUAAACCUCCUCCACAUAAACAUGAUUUACAUGACCCUUUUGGAAGGGGUUUGGCUUGCUGGAUCCUGAGUUCUUCGCACCUGGGCAAUCUGUGGCAUAGUGCCCCAUAGCCUUACACCUGAAGCACUGCACCUGACUCAAAUCCCUUGGCGCACGUGUAACCUGGUGGUUCUGGUUAUUGUUCCCUCCAUUGCCAUUACCAUUACCAUUACCAUUACCAUUACCUCUGCCAUUGCCAUUGUUACUCUUGUGCCCAUUAUGAUGAUGGUGGCCAUUAUGGUCGUGGCCAUUCCCUCCAUGAUGAUUAUGAUCAUUACCUCCAUGAUGAUUAUGAUGCCCAUUACCUCCAUGAUGAUUAUGUCCAUUACCUCCAUUACCAUGAUAUGAAGUGCGUGGCUUCUGCUGUGGUCCUGAAUUAUACCUGUUACUAUUGUUGUACUUCCUCUUGCGAUUCUCUAUGGCCUGUUGCUUUCCCUCUAGAACGAUAGCCUUAUCAAUCAGCUCCUGGCAAUUAUUAAAAGUGGCCACUGUCAACUGAAGGCUCAACUCAUCAUUUAGGCCCUCCAAGAAUUUCUCCUGCCUAGCUGCAUCAGUGUUAACAUCAUUAGGAGCAUAACGUGCAAGAUUAUUAAAUUCAUCCACAUAAGCAUUAACUGUGCGACCACCCUGGCGCAAACUGCGAAACUCCUUCUUUUUCAGACUCAUAGCACCAGCAGACACAUGUGCAGCACGGAAAGCUGUCUGAAACUGCACCCAAGUGACAGUAGCAAUGGGAUAAGUGACCAAAAAGUUGUCCCACCAAGCUGCGGCAGGACCCUCCAACAAAUGUGAGGCAAACCUCACCCUCUCUGCAUCUGUGCAUCCAACCGUAUCCAGGUUCUUAUUGACUGCACGGAGCCAAUCAUCAGCCACAAUAGGUUCAGGGGAACUGGAGAACCUCUGAGGAUUCAACCUCAAGAACCUGGUAAGCAUAUCCACAGGUGGCGGUGGUGGCGGAUUGUUGUUGUUAUUGUUGUUGUUUCCCAUGUUCUGAGCAAGCAACUGGAUCAACUGAGCCUGUCCCUGAAGCAACUGCUGCAUGUAUGGCGGUAUAUCAUUGCCAUUGUUGUCUCCUCCUGCAGCAGUGCGUCUAGUAUCACGCCUCGGCGGCAUCUGGUGGGCAAGCAUAGAUGAGUUAUAGAUAUAAUAGGGCCAAAAGCUAUGUAUAUAUAAAUAUAUUCUACCCAAAUGCAUAAUAUGAUCAAGCCAACAAAACACAACAAUGAAUAACACCAACAACAAACAACAAACAACAAACAACAAACAAUAUUAUAUAUAUACGUAUAUAGUCGAAUAAUUUCGACAAGAUAUAAAUUAACAAACAAACUACCAAUCAAGCAAACAAUCUAGUAUCGUCAUACCACAAAAGUGGGUAUAAUCAGAUACGCUAACAUGAUAACGCUGCAAUAUAAAAAAAACCUGAAUGGUGGUCUCAGCACUAGUUCCUACUUAACUGGUCAAGAUACUUGAGGGGCUUAACUAAUAAAUAGUAAGAAGUAUAACUAGUUGAUAAAUAAUUUUCACUCCUAUGGCUUUUCUAAUCCAUUUUCUAGGGUCACGUCCUACAGUCAACACACUGCUCUGAUGCCAUCUGUAACGACCAAAUCUCGAAGGAUUUGAGUCUCUGUGCUUACCGUGCUAGUCCCUGGAUCGAACUCGCUAGCACACACAGUAUAGAUGAAUACCAGAAUAGCAAGUGCAUCAUUUAUUACAACGUAUGAUCCAGAAUGUAUAAAAUAAAACAAUCUGCAUAGCACUUGGCUAGCUUUAUUCAAUCAAACAGCGGAAAGUAGCAGAAAAUAACGAUGAGUCCCAUCAUAGCCCACUGGCGAUGCUGAGUGCAGACUCGCGACCCUAACGGUACCUUACUCUUCGUCUGAAUAUCCUGCAACAUGAGACGUUGCAGCCAUAUAGGUCAAUACUUUGAAUGUAUUGGCAAGUUACACAGGAGUAAUAAUAUAGCAGACCUACAUGUAUAUGCAUAGUACAACAAAGGAAGGCUUGAGGGUUUAUUUUUGCAUAAAGCUGAUUUUAUCCUAAUAACUACCUAAUAGUCAAAUUUUUAUUUAGUUCUUUUAUUACUACAAUUAAAUACACAAGGUUGAGUUGGCAAAAUCAACUCCAACCUACCCUUUAUUAAGUUGCCCACAAUUAUUAUUAAGUGUCACAUCUGUCAAGAUCAUCCAACAACUGUAAUGGCAUAGUGGCUCAAAUUUACCCAUAACCGGGGGCACGGCUAAUCAUGAUUAGUUUUAAUACUCUGCAGAGUUUUGUACGCUUUACCCACUGGACCCAAUCCGAAGAUUGAGACGAAGUCUUUCAGAAGAGGUUCCCUUAACCACCUGACGGUCACAUCCCACCUACAUAUACUACAUCUGUCGACACAGUCUGGGCAAGGGUUCCAACAACUGAUCAACUAAGCCAGAGCCCAUAUAGCCAGUGGCCGCACAUGGAAGCUACUAGUCACUAAGUCUGUCUGAUCUUUUUGAACCUGGGCGGCAUUCCACUUACAUUCAGAGGGUAAAAACCAUGAUGUUCUUGAAACCACCCUUCAAUACCAAUUCCGCCCAGAGGUGAAUUAAGUCCUCAAUUACUACUCAAUUUGAUUAUAUUUAUAAUCCUCACAUAAUCUCAAUGUAUACACGAACCACCCCCGUCUACAAAGCAUAACAAACUACAACUACCACGAUUUGCAAAAGACGGGAAGAUAGCUCAACAUCAUAUAGCAAAAUAAUAUAGUAUUCCUAUACAUGCAUAAAUUCAUAGUGUGAUAUAACUACAUGCAUAGAAAACAAUAGGUAAAGGAUGAUCAACAUGUAACUUGCCUUGGUUCUGGUUCAGAAAGUCACACUCCUGACAAUAGUUCGCGUCGCACUCCGGACAAUCUACACGUUUCACACAAUUCAACAAAUCAAUCACCGAAACACGAAUAGAACCAAAAUAUAAACCAACAGCAAGAAAAUCAUUUUCAAAAACACAACAACAGAAGCUUAACAGCACCUAAAUUGCACUACGGUCACAACGCAAAAAGAAUCACUCGAAUCCGAUAAACGGUUUAAGAGUUAUGGCCUCCGGAAGAUUUAAUUCAAAUUCAAACGAAUUCAAAUUUAAACAGUGCAAACAUGUGCAAAGUCGGUACUGUGAUAAUCUGCUGAUUUUCCUGAGUGCACAGGAUAAAGAAUUACCUAAAUUGGCUAUAUAGAAUAAAAGAUAUAGCUAGUUGAAGUUAGAGUUGAAAUCUGAAAAUAAAACAAAAGAAAACAGAAAUCCCCUGCGUUACUGUAGCAACUCCUGUGCGUGUCCUGUAGCGAAGUGCCACGUGGCAGCACCGGAUUGGUCAGCGGCUGCUGUGCGCGUGUGCUCACCAGAAGCAGAGGAAAACGGCGGCGGCUUCGGGCGUCGGCGGCGGUGGCUCUCCGGCGAGUCUCCGGCGAAGGUGAAGCGACGGAUGGGUGCGGCGGUGAGUGGCGGAGGUGGUGGUGGUGUUCAACGGCGGCGGGGCGUCCUCUGCGGGCGGUAGCGACGAGGUGAACCACGGUGGUGCCCCGGCGAAGUUGGGCGUCGGCGGCGGCAUCGUUCUGGUGAUCUGCAGGUCACCCCGAUUGGUAAAACGAGUGCGGCGUCGAGAGGGGGUUCGAACGGUGACAAGCGGAGCGGCCGGGCGUCCUUACAGCGGUGGAUUCGGACGGUCAACAACGGCGGCCUCGGAGCUCCUCCGGCGAGAUCCAGACGGCGCAGCGGCUUCGAGCAGACGAGAAAAGAAAGGGGAGGGCGUGCGCUAGGGUUCCCGAUGGCCUUUUGCUCGAGCGGGGAGUCCCAGGGGUGCACGGGGUCGGACCAGGCGUCGGAUCGAUCCGGAUCGGCCUCGGCGUGCGCGCGGCGGCGCGUCCGGCUCGGUGAAGGGGAUGAACAGGGCGCGGGACCCGCUGUCAGCGGCUGGGGCGAGGUGGAUCGGGCGCGGGCGAGCGAUGCGGGUCAGGUGCGGGCGUACCGCUUCGCUAGGUUUAGCGGGCUGCGGGCGGUGGGGUUUGGUGGGCCGCAGCGGUGUGGUGCGGCGCUGCUGGCCCGUGCAGUGCGCUGCGGCGCUGCGCUGCGUUUUCCUUUUUUUUAAACAAAAACUACAGCAGCAAGACUAAAAAUAAAUAAAAUAAAAUACACAAUAUAAAUUCUAAAUAAAAAUACCUAGACACACAGUAAAAAUAGCUCUACAGCUAUAAACUACGGGAACACUAGUUCCAACUCUAAUGCAAUUUUGUAAAAUAUUUUUGAUGCAAUAGGCCACUCAAACAGCAAUAAAACAAACAAAUAAAAUAUUUUGAAGAUCACAAGAAUUACCAGAACAUAUCAAAUGAACUGGAAAUAAUAUUCUGCACAUUAUGAACAUUUUUAAAAUAGGGGAGAAGUCAUGUUAUCUCCACUCCAAAUAAAUUGCCUUUUGUUGCAUAAUGAUUUGAAUAUUACCGAAAAGCAAAUAAUGCAUGGAAAAUAUGAUAUGCAUAUGUAUGAUCUAAUAACAUCCUAAUUUAUGAAAAUUGGGAUGUUACAGUUAUGAUAAUGAUCUGGUUGCUCAAAGUGCUUAGUGAUCUAUCUCCCAAACCAUCAGCAAUCUUUCAUUCCAACAUACACUCAUAAGUAAUCUCGGUCCCACCGAUUCCAUAAACUCAGUCACACCGAGAUGAACCACCUCUGCCACAAAGCCAAACCCUAGUAAUUUCGGUUUUUCCGAUUCCAAACUCGGUCUCACCGAAACUAGUGUUGCCAACCUUCUGUAACCUUCUGUCAUCAAAUCGGUGUCACCGAGAUGAUAAAGUCGGUCCCACUGAGAUUGGAAAACCCUAGUCUUUGGAAGAAUCGGACUCACCGAGAUUGUAUUUUUGGUCCCACCGAAAAUCCCAACGUUCACAAGAUUUGAACUUUCGGUCUCACCGAGUUGUCAACUUCGGUCUGACCGAGAUUGGUCAAAUGUGUGUAACGGUUGGAUUUUGUGUGGAGGCUAUAAAUACCCCUCCACCUCCUCUUCAUUCGUGGAGAGAGCCAUCAGAAAGAACUACCACUCCUACCUUACAUUUCUGAGAAGAAAACUACCUACCCUUGUGUUGAGAUCAAGUUGCUCCACUCCCACCAUAUGAAACUUGAUUUCUAGCCUUCCCAAGUUGCUUUCCACUCAAUCCUUUCUUCCACCAUAGCCAAAUCAGUGAGGAGAGUUGAGUGUUGGGGAGAUUAUCAUUUGAAGCACAAGAGCAAGGAGUUCAUCAUCACCAACACCAUCUAUUACCUUUUGGAGGGUGGUGCCUCCUAGAUUGGUUAGGUGUCGCUUGGGAGCCUCCGUCAAGAUGUGGAGUUGAACCAAGAAGUUUGUAAGGGCAAGGAGAUCGCCUACUUCGUGAAGAUCUACCCCGAGUAAGGCUAGUCCUCCGUGGGCGUAUGCCAUGAUGGCAUAGAUAAGGUUGCUUCUUUGUGGACCCUUCGUGGGUGGAGCCCUCCGUGGACUCUCGCAGCCGUUACCCUCCGUGGGUUGAAGUCUCCAUCAACGUGGAUUGACGAUAGCACCACCUAUCGGAACCACGAGAAAAAUCUCCGUGUCUCCAAAUUGCGUUUGAUCUUCUCCACCUCUCUUUACUUCAUGUGCAAUUUACUUUCCGCUGCCCAUACUCUAGAAUUGCAUGUGUAGUAUGCUACUUGACUUGUGUGAUAUGCUAAAUCUGCCAAGAACUUGUCUUUGUAAAAAGGCAUAAUUUUUAUCUUGUCGAGUAGUCUAAUCACCCCCCCUCUAGACACUCUUACCUUCAACGAUCCUACAACCAGGGACACGGCUAACCAUGAUUAGUUUAUACACUCUACAGAGGUUGCAUCCUUUUCCCCACAAGACUCGACCGCAUCCAUGAUCGGAUGAUCGAGACAUAGUCUUUCUGAAGCAUUAACUCUCUACAUUGGUAGACCGGUACACCUACUUUCCCCUACAUCUGCUAGUCCACCUCUUCAAGAGCUCACACAUCUUACUCAACUAUGCCAGAGCCCAUAAUGGCUUGUGGCUUCAUGUAGGAUCGAAAGUAUGUCUAGAGGGGGGGUGAUUAGACUACUUGACAAUAUAAAAAUUCUGCCUUUUGACAAAGACAAGUUUUUGGCAGAUUCACAAUGAUGAUCAAGUCAAGCAUCACCCUACACAUGCAAUUCUAGAGUAUAGGCAGCGGAAAGUAAAUUGCACAUGUAGUAAAGAGAGGUGGAGAAGAGCAAACGCAAUUUUGGAGACGCGGUGAUUUUUUCACGUGGUUCCGAUAGGUGGUGCUAUCGUACUUCCACGUUGAUGGAGACUUCAACCAACGGAGGGUAACGGCUGCGAGAGUCCAUGGAGGGCUCCACCCACGAAGGGUCCACGAAGAAGCAACCUUGUCUAUGCCAUCAUGGCCUACGCCCACGGAGGGCUAGCCUUACUCGGGGUAGAUCUUCACGAAGUAGGCGAUCUCCUUGCCCUUACAAACUUCUUGGUUCAACUCCACAUCUCGACGGAGGCUCCCAAGCGACACCUAACCAAUCUAGGAGGCACCACCCUCCAAAAGGUAAUAGAUGGUGUUGAUGAUGAUGAACUCCUUGCUCUUGUGCUUCAAAUGAUAAUCUCCCCAACACUCAACUCUCCUCACUGAUUUGGCUGUGGUGGAAGAAAGGAUUGAGUGGAAAGCAACUUGGGAAGGCUAGAGAUCAAGCUUCAUAUGGUGGGAGUGGAGCAACUUGAUCUCAACACAAGGGUAGGUAGUUCUCUUCUCAGAAAUGUAAGGUAGGAGUGGUAGUUCUUUCUGAUGGCUCUCUCCACAAAUGAAGAGGGGGUGGAGGGGUAUUUAUAGCCUCCACACAAAAUCCAACCGUUACACACAUUUGACCAAUCUCGGUGGGACCGAAGUUGACAACUCGGUGAGACCGAAAGUUCAAAUCAUGUGAAUGUUGGGAUUUUCGGUGGGACCGAAAAUACAAACUCGGUUAGUCCGAUUUGUGUAAAGACAAGAGCUUGCCAAUCUCGGUGGGACCGACUUCAUCAUCUCGGUGACACCGAUUUGAUGACAGAAGGUUACAGAAGCUUGGCAACUCAAGUUUCGGUGAGACUGAGUUCAGAAUCGGAAAAUCCGAGAUUUCUAGGGUUUGGCUAUAUGGCUGAGGUGGUUCAUCUUGGUGUGACUGAGUUUGGAAUAUCGGUGGGACCGAGAUUACUUAUGAGUGUAUAUGGCAGUGAAAGUUGCUGAUAGUUUAGGAGAUGUAUCACUAAGCACUUGAGCAACCAGAUCAUCAUCAUAACCUCAUCCCCUUUUAAUAGUAUUGGCUUUCCUAUGGACUCAAUGUGAUCUUGGAUCACUAAACCAAAAAUGGAGUCUUGAGCUUUUGCCAAUGCUUGCCUUAGCAUUUUGAGGGGUCCACUUCUUCAGUCCUUGCCAUACCCAUAUCACUGAACUUUCUGAAAUGAUUCUCAAAUAACUAUUAGUUCAAUGAUAUAUAUGUUGUUAUUAAUUACCAAAACCACCCGGGGAUUAGUUGCACUUUCAAUCUCCCCCUUUUUGGUAAUUGAUGACAACAUAUAGAUCAAAGCUUCGACAAAGGAUAUAAUCAAUGAAUAAUAUCUUCGCUUUGAGAAGUAUGUGAUAAGCAAGAGCUCCCCCUAAAUUUGUGCAUUAUUUAAGAUUUGCGUUUGAAUGCAAAUGCACAAUCGAUUAGGAUCAUGGGUCACUCUUCCAUGUCACAUACAUCUUGGUGGAGCGCACAAAAUGAUAAGAAUGAAUAGCAUGCACCCAAUCACCAAGACAUG